rnacentral:lncRNA from 1 species
AAAUUAAUUGUAGUUCGAAUAUUUUUUUAUUUUUUUAUUUAUAUAACAAGUAUGGUGAGGUUCGAACUACAAUUUAUUGAUCGUAAGCACUAACCAAUUAUUCUAAAAAUACGUGAUAAUAGAAGGGUGCACUCAUUGCAUUUAAGAGCUCAACCACAGUACUUACGGGUUUCGAUCUGACUUAACUCACCUAGACGGUAGGUCUAUUGUUGGACCUCUAACCGUUAGGUCUCUUGUAGACUGCAGUGCCGCUCAACUUAUUAGAUUCUUUCAAUUCAACUUAUUAGUCUUCUGAACGAAUUGUCACGUAGCAGAAAAUUAGAACUAUUUUAGUCUAAUAAUAAAUAACCAAUAUUAUUAAAUUAGAUGAAAUAGCUAAUUUUCUCUAAAAGCUUCUGUUCUACUAUAGUGCAAUUUAUCUACCUGAGCGGAGCUAAAUACGACCCUAAUUAACAUAUUUACCUAACUUACUAAUUAUGCAAGAAACAUGAAAAAAAAAAAAAUAAUUAGCAACAUUUUUUUUCGUUGUUAUUAUUGUUUGCAUGCAUCAUUGCAUGCAAGCAAAAUUCUUUUGAACCAAACUUGAUGCCAUCUGUAGAACAAAGUUAAUAGGUUAGUCUUAGAUUAGAUACUCCAUUCAUUUAGAAAUACAAUAAUUAAUAUACUAAUAUAGGCCCCAAUAAGAUAUGAUAAAGCGAAGACCAAAUACAAAAGGAAACAAAAGGAAACAAACAAAGGAACGAAAAAAGAGAGAGAGAGAGAUGGAGAGGUAGAGAGAGAAAAAGAAAAGGUGUAAUGUUCACUGAUGCGCACGCAUAGGUACCAUGUCAAAGCCUCAAAGAGAGAGUUUUGUAGAGAGAGAGAGAGAUAAGGAUAGAGAGAGAAAGAGCUGACCUUUUGUAAAGCAAAAGCCAACAACACUUAACAUUACAGAUACAAUACACUACCACUACUGCUACUCUUCUUUGUCACUCUCUCUCUCUCUCUCCCCCUCUCUUUCUCUCUAAAUGUGGUCUUAGAUCUCUUCUCCUCGUUGAGAGAAUCUUCUUCUCUCUCUCUCUCUCUAUACGUAUGUUUUUUUUUUAUUUUUCUCUCUCCCUCUACAUGGUGUCUCGUGGGGGAUGUCGCAUCAUGUAGCUUUUGCUUUAGCACAAGUCAAAUGGGUGGGGUUGGAGAGAGAAAAAUAUUAGAGAGAAUAUGAGGAAGAAUAUAUUUAUUAUUAUAUUUUAUUAUAUUUUAUAUUUAAUAUUUAAUGGGAGGUAGUAAACAUUAAAAACAAAUGUGGAGAGGGGUGUGGUUUGGGUCAUUGGGUGAGAAAAAGCCGUUAAUUCCGAUGUCUUUUUCUUGAGGAAGUGGGUUUUUCUCCUGCAGUGAUUGUGAGAUAUAUGUUCAUUUUUUAAAAAUAUUGCAUGCACCCGGUGUACAAUACAUAUAAUACUAUAAAAUAUUAUUUUAGAAUUUUAUUUUUCACUUUUUUCUAUAUAAUAUAAAUGAGGAAUUCUCUAUUUUAUUAAAUAAAUUUUAAUUUAUUGAAUAACAUGAUAUCAGAAUCGUUACAGAUCUUUAUAAUCUUCGGUACGAUUGUUCAUAUACGACGACAAAGUACGUUGCAUAAUUAAUCUCUAUAAAACUACAUAAUCUUUUUAAUAAAAUAAUUAAUGUUCGAGCAACAUAUCUUUAAAUUUACUCAUUUUUUAUAUUAAAAAUUUUAAAAUAUUAUAGAUUACAAAAUAUGGAACAAAAUUUUUUUUUAUUUUUUGAGAGAUAGGUAGUACGCUAUCCGUUUCGUUUAUUUUAUUUAGAAAUAAACUUAACUGGAAAUGUGAAUUAAUAAAAGUUCGAACUUAGAUCUCGGAUACCAACCACUAAAUUUUUUGUCAGUUGCUGUAGGGACGGUCAGUAAUAUGGAACAAAAUUUAAUCUUUAGAUACUCAUGAUUUGAAUAUUGAGAGAGGGGGGGGGGGGNGACUACAGAAUGGUGCAGGCAAUGAUUUCUUUGUUUGACAGUCUUCCCUUGUUGGUGCAGAGAGAGAGAGAGAGAGAGGGGGGGGAGAGAAGGGAAGACAAUGCAGGGAAGUGUGGCAGAUCAGGUCUCUGUGCAGCUGAUGCAGAGAUCUCGAGGCAUGCUGUUUUACAUCUGUCGUGUACUGCUGUCAGUUUCUGCAGUAGGCCUGUGAAGUUUAUUUUGAAGCUGGAAGGGGAGGUAAAGGUAAAGAAAUUCAACUACUCCAUCAUCUUUUGUUUUGACUUGUUCUGAGCUGGGGACUUGGAGGAACUUUCACAUCACACUCACCUUGGGAGCUUAAACUGACCUCUAUUACUUUAUAGAUCCAAUUUAGUCCUAGCUUGUGAUCCUUUAUUUACUUUUUUUAGAAUUCAAUGUCUGGGAUUCAAUUUAAUCACAUUGUUUUUUAUCUUUAUUGCAGUUGUUGAUAAUUAAAAAAUGUAUGUACUUUAAUCAUAUUACUUAGCUAUUUAUUACCAUAAAAUUUUGUAUUGUAAAAGAUUAGAAUUUAUUGUAAACGGUAGUUAUUAAUUGCAACAGUAUUUAUUAUUGAAAAAAAGUUGAAUUUCUAGUAGUGUUAUGUUACAAUGAAACGUGAGAAAGUAAAUGAUUUGAUUUGGAGUUUUCUGUUUUGCUAUAAAAAAAAGGCAUUACGAAUAAUUUUAUACAGUGCUUUUAUUAAUAACACCCUUUAGAAAUAUAGUUUGUCAUAUGGUAUUAAAAUCGUACAGUAAUAUUAGACUAGCCAUUCAAACUUGUCUAAUCCUACAGUAGGAUUUAGUACUUAUUUAAUCUUUAAGGGUGUGUUUGGUUCGCACUAUGAAAGAUUACUAGCAAUAAAAAGAUGUUCGAGAAUUUUAUUCCUAUUAAUCCUAUUACUAAGAAUGUGACAUUCCUGUGUUUGGUUCGCACGGUUAUAUUAUUUAGUCAUGUUAUUUAAAUUUACAAAAAAUAUACAAUUAAUUUAUUUAUUUUCUUUAAUUAAUUUUAAAUAAUGCUACAAAAAAUUUCAACAUCUUUUUAAGAAAAAGGGAGAGAGAACAUAGGUUAGAGAGAGAGAGCAUAAUUAAAGAAAUAAGAAGAGAAAUAGAAUUGAGAUUAGAGAGAGUGAGAGAGUUGAGAUUUUAGAAAAAAAGGGGGGGAGAGAGCUUAGUUUAGAGAGAGAAAAAGAGUUGAAGUUUAGAGAGAAAAAAUAAGUUUAGAGAGAGAUAUGAGGUUAGAGUGUAAAGAAAAAUAAAACCAACUAGCCGGCGGAUAGGGAGAAAGAAAGAGAUUAGACAUAUUAUGAUUACCCCAAUUCAUUAAUAUGAGAAUACAGACCCUCCCUCAAGGGGAUGAGAUUAGUACUUUGGGAUGAAUCUCAUUCCCAAGUAAAUCUAAUAUUAACAACUAGAUUACUUAGUGCGUUUAGCCAAACACCGUCAUAUUUUUUUAUUUCUAUCGGAUUAAUAGGAAUCUUAAAAAGAUAGUGCAAACCAAACGCGCCCUAAAAGGUGAUGAAUAAACUAGUUAGCUAGACAGUUUAUGUUCAGCAUAAGCUAGCCCAUAUAUUUUUUAGGAUGUGAUAUAUUUAAUAAAAUUCGUUCAAUAGGUUAAUUAAUCUCGUUAGAUAUGAAGCUGUUAGUAUAUAUAUUUCGAUUAUUUAUUAAUACACUUAUUAAUUAUUUUAUGUCGAACUAUUUAUGUCUGAAAUUGUAGCGUAACUAAGAUUAAGCCUAGCUACAAAUCGAUUUUGUUAGUUUGCUGCGCUUCACCCCUCGUUGGGCACGAAAGAAGUUACGAUAUAUAUUUUUUGUAACAUAUAAUGUAUACUCUUCGUAAUUCAAAAUAAAGUCUAAAACUAAGAAUGCAUUUUGUGGAUCUACAGAACUAUAGAUUAAAAAGAAAAAAAAAAAAGAAGAAAGGGUAAAACCCGUGCAUGCAUGGAGCAUGGUGGUGUGCAUGCAUGCAUAGUCCUUUUAGCCUACACGUGAGACAAAGUUGGAAACCACUUCUCCUUGGUUUCGCCGAAAGGGCACGUACCCUCCCCUCCCCUCCCUCUCUCUUCACACACAUCUCCUUGGAGUAGCAAAAAAGAGAAGUUGAUGAACCUACAACAUGCAUGUUAAAGUUAGUUUUGUGUUAAGUGUUAAACACACACACACACUCUCUCUCUCUCUCUCAAACCCUAUUAUUAUAGGUAUAUAUAUAAUAAUGGAUAAUAUAGCUUUUAGAGAGAGAGAGAAAACAAAGAGAGAAGUUGCCCAAAAGUGAUAUAUAUGUAUACUUGGUGUGAGUUGUAGAUGUGUGUAAUACCCUCCAUUAAACCACCUUUAAUUAAUUUGCCCUUCUUUUUUUUUUCUUUCUUUUGUGUCCUGCUUUUGUCACCCAAGGACCUGUUGGUCAGCCUUGCACAUGCACAUUGUGACCAGCCUCUCCCCCUGAAUAAUAAAGUAAAAUAUAUUGUAGAAAAAGAAACAAUUUAAUCUCUCUCUCUCUCUCUCUCUCUCUCUCUCUCUCUCUCUCUCACACACACACAUACACACACACACACACACACAUGUAAUUAACAGGCCUCUUGAAGGAAAGUCCAAGGACCUAUCCUCUAUAAUUGCCCUUUGAGGGGCUCUUCCUUUGUGGGGUUUUUUUUUUGUUUUGUUUUUUUUUUUUUUUGUUUGUUUAAGUGUUUUUAGGGGUAAACCGUANUUUUUUUUUGUUUUUUUUUUUUUUUUUUUUGUUUGUUUAAGUGUUUUUAGGGGUAAACCGUAAUUUUCUGCAGGGACUCAAAAUAUUGCAUUUAAUUAUUCUGGAAUUUUAAUUUUAUUUUAUCAAAAAAAAUAUGCCGUUAAAUAAGAUAGUCAAGUUAAAUUUUUUGAAAACUCUAAAGUGCAUGAUGUUCUAUUUAACAAUUAAGUCAUUGCAGUAAAUUUAAAAUAAAAUUAUAGAAUACUUAAGUAUAACAUUUUAAAUCACGAGGACGAAAUACCUUGUGCGAUGAACUUGAACACUCUCGUGAUAAUCUGAUAGAUAAUCUGGCUGGAAAGAAAUAAUAUAAUUUUCAAAAAACAUAGCUCAGAACCUGUGGCAGUCAUCACGAAUAUCAAAUACCUUGUGUGAAACUAGAAAAUGUUUUGCGAUCACUGGACUUAACUUUUUCUUUCAUAUAAUUCCUUCCUUCUUUCUUUCUUUCUUUUUUUUUUUUGGCUCUUUUGGAGGCCUAGCUGUCUCACAUAUGUAGCUAAAUUCAUUUUUAUCAUAAAAUGAAGUGAGUAGUGUGCUACAUUAUUCUAAAAAGAAAAAAAUUAAAUCACAUAAUGGUAAAAUAAAAAUACACUAAAUUAUCUACUUAAUUAGGGUGGCAAAGUAAAAUUACCUAAACCCUACAGUGGCAUAAAUUAAAAUUUACUUUUUUAAAAAUUAAUGAAAAGGAGAACUCUCCACACAUUUUUACUUUGGUUGCGAUUCUAAGUAAUUGAAUCCGGCCAAAAAGAAAAUAACAAAAUAACAAGUUAUUUUCUAAAUAAUUUAUUUUAAUCGUACAUCUCACUUUAAAUUAAAUAUCUAACUAACGGGAUUGAAAUUAUAGAUCAGUUAAUUUGUUAUAUGGGUAAUGAUUAAAUGAAAAUGUGAAAUGUACGAUCAAAGUUAAUUUUAAAAAAAAAAACGAAAAAACUAUACUAAAGUUUGUAGUAAGUGGGUCCAUAAUCAACAUUGACUUUGUGGUCCAAAUCUUUAUGCUCUUCAAAUCAUAAACGGCCUAAAAAGCCCAACUAGCCCGUUAUGAUUAAUAUCAUGGGCCAAAUAUGGCCCAAGUUGGCCAACAUAUUCAAAUUUAAAUUGAAUUAAUUAAUGGUUUUAAAAUUUCUAAUCAAAAGUAAAUUGUAAUUAAUAGUUUUAAUGGAAAAAUUCAAAUAGCACCCCUGUGAUUUCACACUUUCUCACUUUAGUACUUUAUGAUUUAAAGUGUAUCAAUUUAGUAUUCUGUGGUUUCAUUUUUAUCUUUGUAUUAUCGAUCCCACAAAUUUUUUUCGUUAAAUCAGUGAUAAAGUUAAAAGUAAACGGUACUAAAAUAAAUAUUCGAUAAAUCUAGCUGGGUAUCUGAAGUUUUUGUAUAUAAUUUAACGAAAUAUUAACAAAAAAACAGAUGAAAAGAUAAAAAUAAAACUAUAAGACACUAACUUGAUACACUUUAAACCAUAUGAUACUAAAGUGAGAAAGUGUGAAAUUACGGGGAUGAUAUUUGAAAUUUACCCUUAUUUUAAUGAUGAGAAACAAAAAGUAAUUAUGCUUGUUCAAAUUGUAUUCCUCUAACUUGCCAUCCGAACCUCUCCUGCCCUAUUAAUAAAAUUGCAGUGGUUUAAUAUCAUAAUUUUACACUUUUUUAUUUCCCAAAAUUUUAAAACAAUAGAAUUUUGUAGCAAGAAUAGCGAAGUUUUUAAUUUUAUAAGUUCUAAUACCAAAAGCUAAAAUUGCAUUAAGAAAUUUUUCAGAGAUAAAAACUUACAAAACUUACGUGAACUAUGAAAUAUUUUGAAUCUGCUAUCCAAUUAUUUAAAAUUUUGAACAUUUCUGCUCGAAUAUUUCAAUUUGUUUGUUUUGAGUUAGUUAACGAUACUUUGGCUUUAAAAUUUAAACUAAUUACUUAUUUUAAUAAAUUAAUUAUUGCAAGAAUUGAAUGAAGUAUAUUAAUUAAAUCUGUAAUAAUAAACAAUGUAUUUAAAUUUUAAAAUUAAAAUAUUGUUUGCUUACUUUAAAUCAAAUAAAUUAAAAGUUUAUAUAGUAAAUUUAAAAAUUUGAAAGGUUGGAUAGUUAAGUCAAAAUGAUAUAGUAAAAUCUCAAUAUUUUUUUUUAAUAAAAUGCUUAUAAAUUUUAACCUUUGAAAAAACACAUUUAUUUAUUUAUUUAUUAUUUGUUUGUUACAUAAGAUUAGUGAUGCAUUUGUAUAAAUUAUAUUAUAUUACUAAGGAUUCCAUUAAUACUUUCCUUGGGGAAAAGUAACCCACAAAACAGGGUAAAAAAAAAAAAAACAAAGAACGAUGUGGCGGAGAUCCGCCUCUUUCGUCGUCGACAAAAGGUACUACCAACACGACGAGCUCCCCCUCGCCAUGGACCCCCAAAACCCUAACCCUAACCCUAACCCUAAUGCCAACCCCCUCUCCGCCUACUACCUGACCCGCGCCGAGCACCACGCCGUCGUCACCAGCGACUGGCUCGCGCAGGCCCAGGCGGCCGUCGGCCGCCACCCCUCGCCGCCGCCGCCGCCGGAGACGAUCGCCGGCGGAGGCGGCGGGAAGGAGAGGGGGUUCGGCGUGAUCGACGAGUUCAACUACUGGAGGAAGAAGCCCGACCUCGCCGAGGCCGUGGCCGCGAUCAUGGCCCUCGCCGCGGUGAUCCGCUCCAGCGAGGCCACCACCAUGAUGGAGCUCGAGAUCGAGCUCAAAACGGCCUCCGACACCCUAAAGGUAUCGCCUUUAAACCUUAUCUACUAUCUCGAGCUUAAUAAGUUCCUGCUGUGUUGUUAGUAAUGCCUCAAAAUUAGAUCUAAAUGAUGGUUUCCUUUUGAGUAUUACAAUUAGAAACCCUAGAGUAUCGCCGAAGUUGCUGAAUUGGCGCAUAUAGCGAAAAAUGUCGGUUUCACUGGAGAAGUCCUUAGCUUGGGAACAAAAAUUUGUGUUUUGAUCUCAAUUUUUCGGCAAUUAUUUUCCUCCUUAUUGUUUUUUCCUUCCAAUUUUUCUCCGCCAAUUUUUAAUACUUGGAGAUGCCUCUAUAUUCACAUUCUGUUAGUUGAUUUAUGCUUAAAAUAGAAAAUCUUCACAAACUGUUCUUCAUUCCAAAAAAACAGCUUUGAGUGAUAUAGUAUUAGUUGAUGAUUUCCAGUAUUAGAUUAAUGCAAGCUUUUCGAAAAUGUUUGGCAAGUCAAAAUGUUUUCUUUCUUAAAAUUUCGAUGGAAUUCACUUUAUUAGAGUCUAUUGUAACAUUAGGAGUUAUGCUACUUUGUCUUUUAUUUCUCAUGACCUUAUUUACUGUUUACAUAACGGACAUUUUACGUCCGCAUUGCAGUCGUGGGAUACGACCUCUAUAUCCUUGUCGGCCGGUUGCGAUCUUUUUAUGCGAUAUGUCACCAGAACGUCUGCUUUGGAAUAUGAGGACUUCGAUGCUGCGAAACGUCGUUUAAUUGAGCGAGGAGAAAAGUUUGGAGAGAUUUCUCUAAAGGUUUAAAAUAUUUCAUGGAUUACCUCUUCCUUUACCGAUUUGCACUCCGGAAACUAAAUACAUGUGAAUUCCGUUUCACCAGGCGCGGAGAACUAUUGCCAUGCUUUGCCAGGAUUUCAUAUUUGAUGGCUGUACGAUUCUAGUCCAUGGUUUUUCGAGAGUAGUCUUAGAAGUUCUGAAGCUUGCGGCAUCUAAUAGGAAACUCUUUCGAGUUCUCUGCACAGGUCAUUCCACACAAUAGUUUGCUUCUUUUAUUUUUUUUGUGGCUGUGAAAACGGAUAACACUACCUGAACCGUAGUCCAUUUUAAGAUGGGUACCUGGACUCUAAACAGUUUUGAUUUUAAUACCUAAACUUUCAUUCUUUCGAUUUCAGCACGUCACCGUCAGAUACUAUCGGUUUCCGUAAUAUGAGUUUUCGACUAUUACUUCCGGUGAAAAAUAUUUUGAAGACUACAUACAUAAUAUUCUGUAAAAAAAGGUCUAAAAAAUUGUUGAUUCCUGAUGGCGAGGUAGUGAAAUCUAAGGAGAUUAGUACUGAAAUUAUAGCUUGUGGAGUUCAGGUACUCAUUUAAAAAAUAUAUACACGAUACGUCAGGUAGUGCCAGUAUGUUCUAACCUUUUCUUCCUUAAGUUUUCUAAGCUUUGAUCUCUAUGUGAUAUUAAUACCUUAAUAUUCAAAAAUGCAGAGGGAAGGCCAGAUAGAACAGGGUUACGAUUCUCAAAUGAACUUUCGGCACUAGGAGUCCCUGUUAAGCUUCUGAUUGAUUCUGCUGUGGCUUAUGCUAUGGAUGAGGUUGACAUGGUCUUUGUUGGUGCCGAUGGGAUUGUUGAGAGCGGAGGCAUCAUAAAUAUGAUGGGGACAUAUCAGAUUGCUUUAGUGGCUCAUAGCAUGAAUAAGCCUGUCUAUGUAGCUGCCGAAAGUUAUAAGGUACUGCUUUCAGAUCAUAUCGACCUUUAUCAUUUUCUUCGGGGUAAAAUGAAUAGAAUGUCCCUGUGAUCUCCUGAUAUUGAACUUGGUUCUUGACUUCUAACUUAAACAUUCUCAUCCCUAAAAUAUCCUAUAUAUUGAGAUGCACCUGGUGCCCUUUUGCAUCCAAAAUACUUGAUAUUCAUCAAUUUUAGUGCUCAGCAAGCACAUAACACUUUUCCAUAAUGUGACCAUUUUAUAAACUAGGGAAGUCAUUACAGUAUAUAGGGUUAAGGGCCACUUUCAGAAAAAGAGUCACUUGCUGAGCACGUGACUCAUUGGACAUCGGGUGCUUCAGACGGUUAGGAAUUUAAUUGCAAUAUAUAAGAGUAAACUACAGGGUACUUCUGACAGCUAAGUCGCAAUAUUUUUUCAGGCUUUUCUUUGCAGAUCUGUAUAUAAACGUAUAGGUACUUGCAUUUGUUGCUCUAAGCUUUUCUUUUCUUUUGGCUAGUUUAUCUUCACCCUCGAGAACUCAAACAUAGUCCUUUAUGUCGUUACCAAUCUCUUCGAGAUGACUUUUUCAAAUGCCAUCUUAACCAUGUGUUCUUGUUCAAACAAAGUUGAAAACUUGAAAUACAAGAAACAGGUUUUACUAUUGUAUCAUUUAGAAAUGCAAGCCAUUUUUUUUUUUCUACAUUGGUAUUCAAACUAAUUGAAUUAUUUCUAUAGGAAUAUCGAAUAGAUAAGAUGUAUUCUCGCUAAAUUUUAUCAUUUAGAUUUACGCUUUUGAAGGAUCGUCAGCUUGGAUUUAAUUGUGUCGACUUUUUUUGAUCAAUGUCUGAUAUCUUGCUGCUUAUAUGUAUAAAAAAAAAAUCCCAAAUUUUAUUCCUAAUCGAGUUCUUCGAUUUUCCUGCUUCCUUCAUUCCUGCGCGCCAUAGUUUGGCGGCUUUUGCACUUUUACCUGAAUAUCAGCUAUUACUACAUGAAAAGCAUGUUCUUAUUAUAGUGAUCAUUCUUGCAGUUUGCACGCAUGUAUCCGUUGGACCAAAAAGACCUAGCACCGGCCCUUCGCCCAAUAGAAUUUGGUGUUCCUAUACCACCCGGUGUCGAGGUCGAGAAAUCUGCGAGGGACUAUACUCCACCUCAAUAUCUUACGCUCCUUUUCACCGAUCUCGGCGCCCUAACUCCAUCUGUCGUAAGUGAUGAACUUAUUCAACUGUACCUAUGAAUCGUGUCUUCGGAAUCCGACUGCUAUGUUAUGCUUUGUAUUGUAAAAACUGGGUUUCGAAACUAUAUUCAUUUCAAAGAAAGGGAGUGAAAUGAAUGGAGAGAGUAUAUUUUGUAUUAGAAAACCAACAAAAUAGGGAUGAAGCCAUGUAUUUUAUUUAAUUUUUGUUCUGAUAUCAUAUGGCUCUGCAUGUAAAACAUUUUGCAGUGUUUUGGUCCGCACCUUGGCAAUGUAAAAUUGAUUUGAAAACAUUUCGGGAUUUGUCGCGCUCUUUUUCGGUUGGUUAUUAUGACUUUUCUGAUGUUUUUAUCAUUCUUUCUGAGUCCAAAUGCCAGAUAUUUGUUCAGGUUAUGUGUUGAGCAUUAGCAGGUUUUCAAUUACCAUUUCUAUAUUGGUGGUGGGAUGAGUUAUUCAGGAUGCUUUUUAAGAAUCCUAAGAAUAUCCUCGACAUACAUACAUACAUACAUACAUACAUAUGUAUCCGGCUACUAUACUAUUAUGAGUACGAUCGCCCUCGUACUCAUAAGUUGUUUUCGAUGAUAGAGCUUCUGAAUCUACGAUCCACACCGUUAAACGUUAUCUAGAGCAUUUGAAACAUCUAUAAAUUAAAUUUUAUAAUUUUUCGACAUCAUUUAUCUUACGAUCAAAAGCUCACAAAAUUGACAAUUUUUAACGGCUGGUAUGGAAUAUUUGCUAGUUUAACGGUGCAAAAGAAUCGGAAUAAGUUGAAUUUUUGAUAGAAAAUUCUAUUCACUAUCUAGAUAAAGAUCAAUAACUCUGAUCUUAAAUUGAAGAAGGAUCCGAUCAUCUAUUUUUAAAACAUCGUUCGAUUUUGACCGUUCAUUUUAUGCCCGCUUGAUGGAUUUUAUUAUGAUUUCGAAAAAUUACGAAAUUUAUUUUCUAGAAGUUUCAAAUACUUUAGAUCAUAUUUAACGGAGUGGAUCGUCGAUUCGAAAGCUCUAUUAUCGAAAACAACUUAUGAGUACCGAAGGGUCCAAUACUCAUAAUAGUAUAGUAGCCCCACUCUCUCUCUUUCUCUCUCUCUCUCUCUCUCUCUCUCUCUAUAUAUAUAUAUAUUGUAAAUAUAGAUCUAAAUCUUAUACCCGUUGCAUCAUAGGAUUUUCGAAAACUCAUUUGGAUUGCUCUUUUUAUAAAAUAUAUAUGUUGUUUAGAUUGCAAACCAUGAGUAACAGAGAAGGUUAAGUUAAAGAGAUAUGAGUUUGUUGUUAUAUAUACAAACUUUUUAGAAUACUAGUUGAAUGUACGUGCAAAUGCACGUAACAAUUAUUAUAAUUUAUUUUAAAUCAGUAUACAUUUGCAUAUUAUAUAUAUUCAAAAUUUUACAAUAAAAACUAUAUUUAUAAAUUAAUUUGUUAUAUUUUAUUAGAAAAUAUUUACAAUAUCUUACCGUGUUCUUUUAUUUAUAUAUAUAUACAUCAAACAUUUUUAUAUACUUUUUGAUUUUUGAUAAAUCAAAUUUAAGUAUGUGUUUUAAAUUAAAGCAUAGAAAUUUAUUUACUUUAAAAUUUAAAUUUUAAUUUUGAUCCACUGUAACAAAAAAAUUAAUUGUUGAUUCAAAUUUGAUAUAAAAAAUUAAUUAAAUUUAAUUUAUAAUUUAAACUCAAAUUUUAAUUUUAAUGUAAAAUAGAUUAAUAGAAAUGCUAUUUUUUUAACAAAUUGAUCAUAGCCAUUUAUUUUUGUUUGAGAUAUUUUUUAACAAAUUGAUUAUAAACGUAGGAUUGAAUUUAUAAAUGGAUAGGAAUGCUAUUUUUAUAUAAAUUGAUCAUAGCUGUUCUUUUUUGAAAUAUUUUUUUAACAAAUUAAUCAUAACCAUUUAUAGGGAAUAGAUUUCAAUAUUUAGUAGAGAUUUUAUAGAUUGAUCAUAACCGUUCGUUCUUAUUUGAGAUAUUUUUAACAAAAAAAAUCAUAAUCAUUGAUAGGGAAUAUUUUUUUAUUCUUUUUUGGAUUCUGUCUGUCAUUGUCGGAAUUCCUAUACCCUUUUAUAUAUAGUAUAGAUAUAGAUAUAGAUUAAUAGGAUAGCUUUCCCAAAGGAGGAUUAAAACUAUCCUAAACUAUUAUAAUAUAUAAAUAUCGGAUUAUUCUCAACUAACAUUAUCCCAAAUUAUAUCAUUAGCUCAAAAGUUUUGACAAUAUAAACACAUAUAUGUUUCUAUGAUCUCUUUAUUUUAUUUUUUUUUUUUACCAAUGAUUAAUCAAGAAUUAAUCUACCUCUAAUUAACAUCUUAUUCGAUCCACUCGCGAAAAAACACAAUAAACUUAGACUUCAUUAAUCAAACAAGACGAGAAUUACACCCUUAGCCUGGUAAUUGUGAUGCAACUCCUUAAAAACACUAAACACAAAUUAAACACAAAACGCACGUAAAAGAGUGGGGACAAAAAAAAAAAGAAAAAAGUAGAGCUAGUGCAUGAAUGCUCGCGUUUCUCAUUCAUGGUUUGAUCUCUUGGGAAGCAACCGAGCUCGGAGCUCCGCGGCGUCGACCUGGUCGAACCGGUUCUCCGGUACCCAGUAUCCCGUUUUCGGGUCCCUCAUCCAGAACACCUCCUUUCCCUCCGCUGCCGCCUGCUUCGCGGUCGUCGCACCCUCCGUCCUCACCACCGUCGAUGUCGCUGCAUGCGCAGCAUGCGAACUCUCCGUCGCGAUGCUGUAGCAACGUCGACAACUGCGACAAAGAAACAAAACAAAAUUAAAAAACAGCUUUAUGAUCAUGAUAACAACAAUUGCAAUAACACAGCAAGAACAAGAAGAUCGGAAGAAGAAGAACAAGGAGAAUAAAAGGAAGGUGCGUGUGUGUAAGUGCAACGUGUAAACUUACGUGAGAGAGAGCAUCUUAGAGAUGAAAACCCUAGACAUUGUUACAGAGAGAGAGAGGGCUAGAGAGAGAAGAGAGUGUGUUAAUUGUAAAGUGAUUGGUACGUAAUGAGUGUAGGGUUUAAGGGGUUUAUAUAGAGAGAGAUAGGAGAAUAUAUUCUAGCAAAGUAAUUUAAAGUAGCGCGGCGCGUCUUAAAAUAUAACGAAUUAGGAUUCGCUGCACGUCUCCUAUCAAAGUUGUUGCAAGGUCUUCUAAUCUUAUUCCUUAUGGCAAAGUCGUUGCAAGGUCUUCUAAUCUUAUUCCUUAUGGCAGCGUUUGGUUAGGGAAUAGGAAUAGGAAUAGGAAUAGGAAUAGGAAUAGACUCUUAUCCCCCUUUAUACCUACUAAUUUUUUAUUCGAAAAUAGUAGUUCUCGGUUAUCCCCACCAACACCUUCAUUUUCUAUAUAAAACUACCUAAAAUUAUUUUUAUAUCCGGAAACAACCCAAUUUUCAUCAAAAUACUAUUUUUCUUAUCUCCAUACUUGUACCUAUUCCUAUAAUAACUAGCUCUUACUUAUACCCGAACCAAACGGUAUAAUAAAAUUUAUAUUGGUAUUUAUUUUGAAUGGAAUAUGAGACGGACGGCUUCGAUGUUUUUUGGUGUUGAUGAAUGGUCGGAAAAUUUAUGCCUAUGUGCAUCCUUUAAAAAUUUAUUUAUUAGAUAUGGUUGGUGAUAUUUUAAGUAUAAAAAAAUUGAAUUUUUGAAUGGUUAGUUCUAUGGAUCAAACAACUUCUCUUUUUUUCCUCACAGCUUUUUUUUUUUUUUUUUUAAAAGCUUGUUGAUUGUUGGUUAAUUUUUGAAACUAGUAAUGUUGAGCUAAUAUAUAUAUAUAUAUAUAUAUAUAUAUAUAUAUAUAUAUAUAUAUAUAUAUAUAUAUAUAUAUUAUAUAUAUAUAUAUAUUAAUAUAUAUUAAUAUAUAUAUAUACUAGUAAAAUGUACGUGCAAAUGCACAUAAUAAUUAUUAGAAAAAGUUAUAAUUUUUUUAAAUUAUUUUUUAAUUUUAGGCCUAUUUUUAUGAUUGCCAAAUGUGUAUCUAAAAAAUUAAAAUAAUAAAUCACGCUAUUAAGAAAGAUAUGCUUUAAAUGAUAAUAAUUAACAAUAAUCUUAAUGCAAAAUUGCUUUUAAAUUAAAUAGAAAAUAAAAUCUGUUAGGAAUAAAAUUUUUGAAAUUAAAUAGAAAAAUAAAAUCCGUUAUCUUAAAAAGAAAAUAUAUUUUGAAAUUAAAUAGAUAAUAUCUAAAAAAGAUAUUUUAAAAUAAAUGGGAAAAUAUCUUUUAUAAGAUUUUCACACUCGUAAUCUGUUAUAGAAAACUUACUUUUGAAAUUAAAUAGAAAAAUUUAUAUUUUAGGAUUUUCACAUCAAUAAUCUGUUAUAGAUAACUUACGUAUUCAUUGCUGUUCUAUUUCUAUUUUUAUUCUUAUAUUUAAAAUUUUUCGUACGGAAAGAGAAAAAUGGGCGCUAAUUUUUCCGCCGAAAAAUGGGUCUGUCGACAGACCCAAAUUUGAAUAUACGUGCUUUUAUAUAUAGUAUAGAUAUAUAUAUAUAUUCUUUAGAUAUUACAAAGCAUGUUUAUUUUUUAAUUUGAAGAUAUUUGUGUUGAAUAUAAAAAUAAAAAAAAGCGUUAAAAUGAUUGUUUCAUAUAUUUUUUGCUCGAAUUCUGAAAUUGCAUUGACUUUUCGAUUAAUUAAAUUCAAAAGUACCAAUGAUUCGAAGUCAUCUUUGAUAGAUUAGAUGCUAGCCGUUUCCAUAACAAAUUCAAAUCGAAUUGAGAGUGAGAAAAGCUUAAAAACAAAGUAAGAGAUUUUCACAUGCCAAUUUUGCAUGUUUAUCUAGCUUUUCAGUAUUUUCCUCACAAGUAUUAAUUGGGCACCAAAAAUAUAGAAAUUAGGGUCUAAUUUAGAUUUUCUUGUUGAUAUUUAAACGUAAUAAUUAAACCUAUAUUUCAAAUUGGGCACCAAAAAUAAAACUACUACUAAGAUGUGCGCGCGUGGUCAAAGUUGACUUGGGUCAACGGGUAUCCAAUCCAUUCGUGGCAUUCAAUAACGCAACAUUUGCAUUUUGUCUCAAAAAAAUAACCUCGGAUUAAUUUAAUAAUUUGGUGCUUAUAAAAAGGUUAUCAUUAUGCUUAAUCUUAAUUAAGCACAGUAUUUGAAAGAAGCAUAUUUUUCCAAAUCGAAAAUAGAAUAUUUUUCAUUAUCUUUCAACUUAAGCUUUUAAAAGUAAAGAAUUAUUCUAAACAAUAUUCGGCACGACGUUGACUCGACUCCACGUUUUCCAGGCAAACAAUAGUACCUGCAUUUAAUUUUAUAAUAAAAACAAAAAACAAAAAAACAAAACUAAAACAAAUGUAUAGUAAUUAGUUUUAUUUAUUCGUGUAUAUAUUAAUUAAGAUCCACUUAAUUAAUUAUUACACAGCUCAUCAUUUAUAUGGUCAUAGUAAAAGGGUUAAUUUUAUGCAGGUCUCUAUAAACAUAGUGAAUUGUAAAUAUAUUUUUAUAAAAUUUAAUUUUCAUAUGUUGUUUCUAUAAAAGUCCUGAUUUUUUUAAAUAUGUUUCUGUCGUUAGGAUCCGUUAAAAAAAAUUAGUUAACAAUGGAUAAAAUACUUAACCUUAAUUAGUUAAUGAGGUGAAUUGAUCUUUUUCCCUCUCUUUAAUUAACCGUUGGGAUUUUUGAAGAAACAUAUUUUGUUGGGAAUCGGGUACUCGCCCCGUUACCGAAUUUUGUGAAUCCGCAACCCGCACCGAUAUCGACGGUUGUUAGAUUCGGUACUAAUUAUUGGGAUUCCGCAACGGAAGCAUCGAAUCAUGUUUUUACCAUAAAUCUAUCUCUUUAGCAAAAAUUGAUACAAUCACAAAAGAGAGAAAAAUCAAAACAAAAAAUAUACGGAUAAAAUAAAAUUCAUUAAAUAAGAGAAGAUAAUACCUAACUCUUCUUCUGCAUAGAGUAGCUACAAUCCGAGCCAUAUUUUUUAUUCUCUCGUACUCUUCUCUCGUAUUCUAUAAACCCAUAAAGUAGAGAACUUUCCAUGUUCACUCGUGCACUAGGUGCACUCAACCAUAACUUUCUCUCUCCUAAAACGGUUUCAUCCAAGAAGGCAUUCUUUUUUACAGUACUCCCUACUCCAAAAACAUUACAAAAAGUGCUUUUAUAAUGCAUCCUUUAAAAUGUACGCGAAUUCUAAUCCAAUUAGGAUUUCUAUUCCAAUUAACAUUUAAAUCUAUAUUUCAUUUAUCUCCAAUAGAUUUAAAUAUUUAUCCUAGUCUAGUUAGAUUAAUAUUCUAAUUAAUAUUAUAUCUUAAUUUAUCUCCAACAAAUUUAAAUAUUAAUUCUUAUCUAACUAGAUUUAAUCUACAAAUCUAACCAAAUCUUAACGUAUUUGUGAUGGCAAAGAGGUUAUUUUACUUAUAAAAUAAAUAGUAUUUUAACGAUAAUAAAUCAGAAGGACAUAUUUGAAAAAUUAGAAUUUUUACAGGAAAUAUGCGAAAGUUAAAUUUUAUAGAAAUGCAUUUAUAAUUUACUAUAUUUGCACGAAACUGUAUGAAAUUAACCGUAACAUAAACAUAUAUUAUAUAGGUAUUUUCUUCUUCUUCAUGUAGGAAUGAAUAUUAAGUAAUUAGGUUUAAUUUAUUCCUCGGCUUUCUUAGGAAGCAGUUGUGCUCUGAGUUCUGCCACGUCAGCCUGGUAGAACCGGUUCUCGGGGACCCAGAACCCGGUCUUCGGGUCCCUCAUCCAGUGCACCAUCUGUUGCUGGUCUACGCGUAGUAGUAUCCUCUGCUGCAGUGCCACGUAAGCUGUGUCUGACACCAUGCAGUACGUACGUGCGCGUGCUGCUGACGUGGAAUAUACGAGGGAGCGUACGUGCGUGCGUGCAUGCAUGCAUGCAUGCAUAGGGGAGUGAUUAAUUUAUAACAAGAGUCGCUUAAUUAUCUAAAUUAAUUAGAUAAAUUAGUUAAUUAAUUUUACCUGAGCAAGAGAGCGGAGAACGAGCUAGGCCUUCGACAUUGUACGUACGUCCUCACGCAGGAGAAGCAAUAGAAAAAAUUAAGUGGAGUGUGAAGAGGUUUUGAGUGGGUUUGGUACGUAGAGGCCGUGGAAGGGGUUACAUUAGUGAGGUGUUGGGCUAAUUAAUUAGUUUUCAAUUAAUUAAUACGUCUUUUCACCAAAAGAUUAAAAAAAAAAAAAGAAAGCAAAAGAAAAAGGAAAAGUACUUAAUAAUUAAGGAUGCUGUUAAAUAUAUAUCUCGCAGUUAUCCAAGAAAGUGUUAACCAACUCAGGCUUAACUGAAAUCGAAUCUAAAAAAUCUAAUUAAUAGAUUUGAUUCGGGUUCGAAGAUUUUAGAAAACUAUGAUACGUGGCAUGGUUGGUUCUAGUUUCUAGUUUUAAAUUAUAUCGUACAUAGCAUGAUUAAUUCUCAUUUUGUUAUCGAUUACAAUGAGAAUUUAUUAAUAAUAAUAAUUCAAAUCUAUAAAUAUCAUAACCUUGAGUGGAAUCGCGCCGCCCUCAUAUAAGAUCAUAAAUAUUCUCUGGUUUCUACCUGGUUUCCUUCCAACUAGGGUGGACCUUACUGGAGAAAAUGAGACUUAUAAUGAACACGUAUAGAGGAAUGAGAUACUCAACGUAUAGAUCGAUAGAGACUAUAUGUAAAAUUCCAAAGCUUUAUUAUAUAUUCUCACACCUUUGAUUGGUCCUCUCACUCUAUCCUCUUGCUACAUCUCAAUCAUUAAGAAACAAGGCCAUAUGUGAUCGAUAAAAGUGUACAAGUUCCCUUUCAAUUUGGUUUUAUAACGCUUUCACCAUCGAGUUUAAUGGAACGGUGAGAAAUUAAGGUCCACUAAUUAAGAACUAACUAUUUAGCUGAACACAUGAAUUUGCAAGUUGACCAUUACUCUUAAACUCAUAGGCGAUCACGAUGACUAACAGAUAUUUGACCAUCGAAUUAAUAUAAACAAGAGUUUAAUUUGUUGUGGAUUGCGAUAAUAAUGUUUUGAAAGUUAGCGGUUUUGAAGAAACUGUUUCGUUCUAAAAAAAAAAAAAAUUCUGUAAUUAUGUGACAUCAACAUAGGGUUAAUACCUAAAGUUGCUAUAUAUCUCCACUAAUUUUUCAAAUGGCUUUUGAUAUAUUUUGCAUUUUGUUUUUUUUAGAUUGAGGUAACACAUAAAACAAUAACCUUAGAUCACACAAAUAUGAUUAUUUAUUGAUACUCUUAAUAUGCUAAUAAUUCAUGAACUUUCCAAAAGACAUGGAGUAUUAUUAUUCUUUUUUUCAGCUAGACAUAUCUUAUCACCGAGCACUAAGUAUAUCUUACAGGUUGCAAAUCUCUUUCCCAAUUAGGGUGAAAAGUUGUCUCUUUUCUUAUAGUUAGGCAUGCCACUUUGCGAAUUGUUUUUCAAUCUUUACUCAAUUUUUUUUUUUAAUUUUUAUUUUAGCUCCCAAUCUUUUCGUUCUUAUAAUUAUAUUCUUUGCCUUUAGUAUCUGUUACAUUUAGUUUUUGUCAUUAAAAAUAUCGUUAAUUUUGGCAAAAUUUAUCAUAUGGCAAAGUUUGGUACUGAUGCCGUAUUGAAGUGACAAUUAUUAUUAGUUGGUACUAACAUGAUAUUCGUCAUUAGAGUUAACAACGCUUUAAAAAGUGAGACUUACUAAUUGAAAUCAACAGUAAAAAGUUAGGGAGCUAAUUACAAAAAAUUAAAAAGGAUCACUAGAUUAAUGGUUUAAUAUUAUAAUUAAUAACAUCUUAGAUGCUACUUUUUGCUUAAAAUUGGGCCAAAGCCUAAACAAGGCCCACAGACCGAGUCUAAUUUGGGCUAGAUUUUAAAAUUUUCUGUUGUGGUGGGGCCUCAAAAUAUUUAGGCCCAAAAUAGUUUCAUGUUCACUAUUUACGAUGAAAAAGUAUGAUAAAAAUUAUUCUUUAUAUUUAUAUUUGUAUAAAUUGUAAUGAUUUGAUUACGAGAUAAUUUUUACGGUCUCAUUAAAAAACGCAAAAGUGAGCAAAGCUUUGCAAGAGCAUUUAUUUAGAUUGUAAUUUUUCUAAUAUACUGUAGCUGUAAUGUAUAAAUUUUAACAAAUUUAACAUAUUUGUUUUUACUAAUUUUUUUUUUAAAUAUUGAUUUAAGAGUUGACCACUGCAUGUAUCUAUGUUAAAAUGGGGACCGUCGAUUUCACCCUCGGAGGACGAUGGCCACUUCGCACCUGCUGCUGACGUGGCAUCCCCAAAUUGGCAAUUAAUUAAUGGAUCCCAAUGAAGUGCGGGGGAUACGGACCCAAAUUAUCGGAUCCGAACGAACCGGACCAUAAUCGGUCGACCAGACCCAAAUGCGUGUACCCAAUCGGGUUCGGACCCGAGUCGAACCGCACCAAUUUGUAGUUAAAUUAACGGCUAAUAACGACCCCCACCGCCCACUAAUAAAAUAGAGCCGACCAUCUCCAACUUGAUCGGGUUUGUUAAUUGUGCACGAAUUGCUGCAAAUUAGUCAAAAUUGUGAAAAAAUUACGUUAUAUGUGAUAAAAAAGUGUGAUAAAAAAAUAAAAUUAUUUAUUUAUUUUCGUAUGCAAUAUCAUAUUGCAAUAUAUUUUUAUAAUAAAUAUUUAUAAUAACUAACUGUCCCUAGAGCAAGUGACAAACAGCUUGGUGGUUGGUACCUGAGACCCAAGUUCAAAUCUUAGUUGAUUCACAUUUCUAGUUAAGUUUAUUUUUAAAUGAAAUAAACGAAGCGGAUAGCGUGCUAUAUAUCUCUCAAAAUUUUUUUUUUUUUUUUAUAAUAUAUAUUUUUUAUAAUUUUAUUGUAAAAUACGAAAAUAUAAUUUUAAUAUAUAGAAAAUUAGUUUACGCGCUUUCGGUAGGAAAAGUUGCUGAUGAAACAUGAAAAACCUACACCGAAAGUAGCUGAUCAGGUUGUAACUUGGAUCGUCCUUUAAAGCACUUUUAGUUUUUUCUCGCAUUUCCGAACUAAAAGUUAUACUUUUUCAAAAAAUUUUAAAAAAACCAUUUGUUUUUUUUUUUAAUGUUAUUUGAAUCUAUGAUUCCAUCAAAUAAAUGCAUCUAAGCUGACUCAUUUUUUUGCGUCUUCAACGCUAAUGCUAUCUUUUUCAAUCUCUCUGUGCACACACUCUUUCUCUCUCUCUCUCUUCUAAAGCUAAAGAGGAGCAAAUAUCAAAUAGAAGAGGGUGUAUAUGUAAAGAGUCCAAAAGGGAAAGUUCUCACAAAGGAAGAUCAUAAAGGUACAUCACUUGUAUGAAUCCUCUGUAUUCUCCUUUUCUUUCUACUUGUUCAUUCAUUUCUCCUCUCUAAUUCAUGCAUGAAAAAGUUGGAAUAUAUCUUUGUUUUUGCUUUUUUGUUAGUUCUUGGUCACCCAUAAGUGGAUGAUGAUACCAAAAGUUGUUGGUGGCUUUUUGAGUCCUUUGAUAAGGGGAAAGAAAAAGAGAAAAAAAAAAAAAAAAAAAAACUUGAACAAUUGGGAUUUGAGAUCUCCUACUCUACAAUUGUGAUUACUAGUUUUGUGAGUGAAAAGGGGCUCUUUUUUUUUUUUUUUUCUAGCUGUGUUACUAAGGAAGGUUCUACACACAAAUACACAAUGAUGAACAAGCAUAAAAAGAGAGCCCAUCCAAUCCCCCCUCCAAGUAGUGCUACUGCUAUAUCAGAAAUACUGUUUUUACUAUUAUUACUAUUAUUAGUAGUGUUACUAGUUUGUAUAAUUAAUACUAUUUUUUUUUUUUUGAGAAAAAAAUAAUACUAUUAUUAAUUUAUUACUCCUCCACCCUUAUAAGACUUCUACUUGGCUAUUUGUUGUUUGCUCUAUGUGGUGCUUUUCUGAAUCCGUGAACUUGUCGUUUUAGUCUCAUCGACUUACUUUAUAUGUAGAUUCAUGCAUGUUCAUAAAGCUUAUUCCCAGUUAUAUAGACUAUUGUGUUUUGGUGAUCUUGCUUUUACAGGUAUUGAAGUGAUCUUCUUUGUGUAUAUAUAUUAUGUACUUAGGUGCAUGUUCUAAGUUACAAGUUGUUGUGCUACAAGUGAAUGGAACAAAAUGUUCCCAGCUGAGCCAUGGAGUGGUCGGAAAAUCUCAAGCCGGCUUCGAACUACCCACCCGAAAGCCGAACUGAGGGCUUUAGCUCACCAGGCCAGGGCUUCUUGCAAGGUCCCACUAACAUCAACCCUCGACCUCCCGUGUUUUUUGUACCAACUGGCGUUAGGCAUGUCUUGAAUUACUCUUUUCAGACCGGCGAGGAGUUUGCGCUUGGAUUCAUGCAAGAACGGGCCAGCAAUUCCCGCGAGCCUUCUCUUCUUCCGACCACUUCUGAAGAACAGAGUUAUGCCGAUCAGAGGACGGUGCCAAUAAGCCCUCACGUCGGUCUCAGAAGUGCUUCUGAUGCACCAGCGACGAAUGCAGUUUUAGAGACUGAGAAGAAAGGCCCUCCCUCGUUGCGGCGCUUUGCUUUAGGUGCUUCAUCCGAAGAUGUACGCAGCCCGGGAUUCGGUAAAAGGUACGAUGAUUCCCCUGUGUCUUCCGAAUUGCCGCCAACUAAGAUGAAGUUCCUCUGUAGCUUCGGCGGGAAAUUUUUACCCAGACCAGGUGAUGGAAAGCUUAGAUAUGUUGGAGGUUACAAUCAUGUCCUUCAGCUGAACAAAGACAUAUCAUGGCGCGAGCUCUUGCGGAGAACGCGGAAGUUGUGCAACAAAUUUCACGCAAUCAAAUACCAAUUGCCAGGGGAGAACAUUAAUUUGCUGAUCUCCGUGUCCUCCGACGAAGAUUUGCAUCUUAUGAUGGACGAGUGCAGAGUCUUAGAAGACGGUGAACACAAGCCCCGGAUAUUUCUUUUCUCUUCGGAGGACGGCGAUGUUGAUGAUGGCAGUGUGCAUUCUAAUGUAGGAAAAAUUGAUGCCGACGCUGAAAGGCAGUAUGUGAUUGCUGUAAAUGGCUUGGAUGGAUCAGGCGAUGCAUUCAAUAAGCGCGCGAGUGCUUCUGCGACUGAAAUGGAUCAGUUAAUGUUCGAGCUCGGCGAGGCUAAGAUGAGCAAAAGUGCUUCUAGUUCAGCUACUGUAUCUGCAAUGGAUUUGAUUACUCCGCUGAAGACACCAUCUAAACCUAUUCAAGUUAAACAGCAUAUUGGAGUAGCGGCUUAUUUGAAAAAUCAAGACAAUGAAGAGCAGUUCGAGGAGGAUGACAUGUACCUAUAUUCCGGGCAUCGCCACCAAGAUAUCUUCUUCAAUAAGGACAGCAAUAUUUUCUUUCCUUCGCCGGUGCCUACAGAAUCCACUACUUAUCCUAGUAAGCACAAACAAGGCAUUACAAAUUUCUCGAAGCCGCUCAACGAGCUAAAAACUCUACCUAGGAUAGUCGAUGGACUUCACGGUGAAAUGAGAAUUGCAGAUGGAGAAGUACCGAGGAAAGAAAUAAAAGCCAAAGAAGAUAGUGUAUCCGAGAAAAACGAUGAAGCGGCGUUAUCCUGGCACUUUACGGACAAGUUACCUGUGCCGACAAAGCAGCAUGAAGGUUCGCCUUCUGACAAUGUGCCGGCCGAACCAUCUAAUGCGGCUUCUCGGGUCUUUCAGACGGAGAGGAUCCUGAGGGAGCAAGUGGAGCCUCUCAUUCGGUUAGCAAAAUCGGAUGAUUUGAUUGGUUUUCAGCAACUUGGGCUUAAUGAAAACUACAUUAUGACUGAAGAAUCAACCACCGCUGGCAAAUCUGCUGAUCUUUCGCCUGGAGGGCACCUAAAUUCAAGUGAUAUGUUGUCUUCACCAGCUCAAGUGCCGGAGGAUGUGAUAUUGCAGAUUCCAAAGUCCAAAGAUUUUGGAGACGCCCAAUUGAAUCAGGGAGAACAAAUGUUUUCGCUGGAAGAAUCGGAAAGAUCACAUAAAUCUUUGCACAAGCUGAGAAGUCAUGGUUCUCAAGAAGAUGCGGCUAGUCAAGUCGAGAAGCGGAUAGACGGAGAGAGCUACCGAAACAGCUUUGGUUCUCAGAGGAAGAUUGAGAAAUCUGACAAAGAAAAUGGAGUUCAAACUACUGUCAGGAGUGUCGAACUAAAAUUUUCACCUGCAGGUGCCAAAAGUUGCAAUAGAAGUCAGGAAAGUCCGAGUUCUACGUCAUCACCGUCUACACCUUCGGGAAAUAGAACGGCUAAAAUGUGCGACAAAUUUUCACAGUGCGGUUCUCAAGAUCAAGGCUAUAGUCUAUUGAAAAUUAGCUUGACACGGUCGCUGGAAAAUGAUGGCAGUAGUUUGCUCGUUUUGAAUCGUUCGCACGAACUUAGGGAGGAUGUUAGGGAAGCUAACCAGGAGCAAGAGGUACUCACUCUUUUAUCUCCUUAAUUAAUUGCAUUUUGUGUGUCCACUUUCAUAUAUGUUUUUUGUCUACAGGAAUAUGAAGCUGAGAGAGUUGAAGAAAUCGGUUUGCCUGCAGUGGAUGCUAUUAGUCGAGAUCUGAAUAUAAGUAAUGUACAGGUAUGCUUAUUGGGGUUUAUGAUAGAGCUGCUUUUUUGUCAAAAUUUUCAAGUAAAUGAACCCAAACUUGCUUUCCUAACACAUUUGUUCUACAGUCAUGUUUGAAUGACUUUUCAAGUUUAUGAAAAUUGAGAAUUGGUUUGGCAAAGGAAUGAUUCCAACCCUCGAUUCCAUAAUAUUUCAGAAUAUUCAAACGCUUUCCAUUCAUUCAUUUGCAUAUUGCGAAAUUUGGUUUCUGAACGACUUUUACACUUACAAAAUCUACAUAAUAAACCUAUUUCAGCAACUAAGUACAAAAGGAUAUGUAAACAAAAGUUUAAGAACAUUUUAGCUCUCUUACACAAGGAAUUUUUCAACUAAGCACAAAAGGAUAUUCCACAACAUGCAGAUUAUAAAGAAUGAUGAUCUCGAAGAUCUUCGAGAGGUAGGUGCCGGUACGUUCGGAACCGUCUAUCAUGGGAAAUGGAGGGGUACAGAUGUGGCCAUUAAGCGGAUAAAGAACAGCUGUUUUCUGUACCACUCAUCUCAGACAGAUAAGCUGGUAAGUUUAUUUUCUGAGUCUUUGAAUUGAUUUUCUGUCGCAUUUUUUCUUCCCUUUUUUUUUUCAAUGCAUUGUAAUGAAUCGAUUUAUUUCAGAUCUUGGAAUUUUGGCGGGAAGCGGGCAUUCUCUCGAAGCUUCACCACCCAAAUGUCGUGGCCUUCUACGGAGUUGUGAAAGAUGGACCAGGCGGAAAAUUAGCUACUGUAACGGAAUUUAUGGUCAGCGGAUCCCUUAAGAAAGUUUUACUGCGCAGGGACAAGUAAAGUUCUCUCUAGUAUAUCAAUCGCCUUCACUAUUUCGCACUUAAAUCACCACUAAAUUUUUCUGUGUUGGAGCUCGCAGGUAUCUCGAUCGCCGUAAGAGGCUAAUGCUUGCUAUGGAUGCUGCUAUUGGAAUGGAAUACUUGCAUUCCAAGAAUAUCGUCCAUUUUGAUUUGAAAUGCGAUAACUUGCUCGUGAACCUUAAAGAUUCCUCGCGUCCAAUUUGUAAGGUUAAGUUACAUUUCAUAUCAACUUACAUCUUUGUCUUAUAGAACCUACUUUUCUCGGUAAAUAGUGCGAUAAAUACUAGGAAAAGGAAAUAAGCUCUGGCGAUGUUUGAUUCAGGUUGCUGAUUUUGGCUUGUCGAAGAUGAAGCAAACCACUAUGGUAUCCGGUGGUAUGAGGGGAACACUUCCCUGGAUGGCUCCGGAGUUGCUUACCAUCAACAGCAACAGGGUAUCUGACAAGGUAAUACAUAAAUCUUCUACGACGAUUAUUUCAUCACUUGGUUAGAGUGUUGCUACUGCGAUUCUUCUUCGCUGGAAUUUGUAUUCAGUAACGUCUAAAACCUCCGCGCAUUGCUAUUUCUUACCCAGCUAUAGGCCCUGCAUUUGAAAUUUUGUAUGCUUGCUAAAAUUUGAGUAACUGUUCUUUGAUUACAACUACAGGUUGAUGUGUACUCCUUCGGCGUCGUCAUGUGGGAAAUUCUCACUGGAGAGGAGCCGUACGGCGAUAUGCACUACGGAGCAGUCAUAGGUAUGCCGAUAAAUUAGCAUCUUUUUAUGAGAUCUCGUAACUACAAUUACCCGAAUCUAACAUUUCCGACAUUAUAGAAUUCUGAAGGUGACACUUCCUGUUACCAAAUGACCAGUCAAAUUUCAAAAGAAUACUUUCUUUUGCCGUUUGAUACUUGCGAAUUUAUAUGAUCGAUUUAUAUCGAAGACGACUUAUCAAAGAACUCACUUCCGAGCAGGGGGUAUAUUGAAUAACACAUUGAGGCCGAGCGUGCCGAGUUCGUGCGAUGUAGAAUGGAGGAAACUAAUGGAGCAGUGUUGGGCCGCGAACCCCGAUCAACGACCUUCGUUUACUCAGAUAGCGGCGCAGCUCCGUUCGAUGUUGGACGCUGUUCAAGCUUAGUGUUAACUCCACACUAUGCUAUCCGUGAAUGUGCGGCGCAGAUCCGUGUUUAAAGUUUGUACUGUUUGUUGUAUGCAGUAGUAGUAUUUGCUGUUAGAUCAGAGCUGAAUAUGCUUGUUGGAGGUUCUUUUCUCUCUCUUUUUCCCUCCUGUUUUUUUUUUUUUUUUAAUUUGCAUUAUUUUUUCUGCUUGUUGUUGUGAAUUUGUAAAUGUGAAAAAUGUGAUUAUGUAAAACUUGGUUUCCUGUAUAUGGUAUAAUUCCCAAAAAUGUUAGCCGAAAUCGAUGCAUGUUCUGAAUCAAAGAUGCUUCUUGAUCAUGUAUUAUAGCAAAUUAUUACUCCAACAAAAUAAGCUAGAUGAAAUUGUGCACCGUAAACUUUACCACAAAAUAAAAAAUAAAUAAAUAAUCACAACUGUACUUGGAGAACUUAAAUGAAACAAUUUUCGCUUGUUAUGAAUUUGGAUUUUUUUUUUUCUUUAAGCAGUAUUCAAAACAACAAUUCUGCGGAAGGUCAAAUGUUAUCAAAUGAUACGUAAAAUAAAGGAAAUUAAAGGCGUAGUGUAUCAAUGAGAAUAAACUUGCAUUGUAUGAUUAUAUACAUAAAUGGUAUAUAGCGGCAACAAUACUUAUUUUCUUUUUUGAGCAUCCUUUUAAUUUGGUUUUUUUUUUUUUUUUUUGAAUUUUUCUUUUCUUUAUAUUAACACCACACUGGUAAAUUAACAAAUGAUGUGGCUAAAUAAUAAUAAUAAUAAUAAUAAUUAGAAUUUUUUGUAAUUUUCGAAAUUAUUAUUAUAUUAUUAUUUUUAGAAUUUUUUUUUGUGAUUUUUUAGGAUUUUUUGUAUGGAAAAAAUUUCUAAAAAUUAAGAAUAUGAACAUGGAAGUAUUAAAUUAGAAUUAGAUUUAUUUAUUUUUAAUUUUUUUUUAAAGUUACGUGUUGUGAUUACAAUUAGAAUUAGAAUUUAAUUUAUUAUAAUUAGCUUACAAGCAAGUUUCUAAUUGCAUUGAAAUUGGCAAACCAAGUAGGUGCACCAACCUGUUACUAGCAAGAAAGAAGCCCCGACUUUUUUAUUUGGGCUAAAUUUGGUCUUUGGUCCAUAAAUUCUGAGAGCCGUAAUACUUUUUGGUCCUCAAAUUUGAGUUUGUUAUAAUUUAUAACUUAAAAUUUUUAAAUCAUCAAAAUCAAAUUUUACGCUAUAAUAAUUUAGUUAGCUAAAAAAUAUUAUAUUAUUGUCGUGACAUCUGAGUCAUUUAUAUCUCUUUAACUACCGUUAUAUUAUAUUAUUACCCUAUCGAUGAGACAUUAUUUAGUCAAUCGAAUCGACUUGUACUAUGCAACUUGAUUGUAAUAAUGUAAAAAAUUCAAACAAAAAAAUUAACCAGAAAUUACAGGAGCCUGUGUUCAGGAUUGGUCUAUGUGAAAAUGACGGGAGCUUGGAUUGAACCCAAAUGAACGAACCUAAGUUGAAUCUGGUCCCUUCUAGUCUCAAUUUGUGGGCCCAACCCAAUUUGUCUCCCUCACACAACCUCUCUCUCAUUGACUUUAAGGUUAAGAUUCGGUGCAUGCACUUAUAUAUAAUCUUAAUUUAUUAUCAUUAAUUUUUUUGUACACAAAGGUAGUAAUCCACCUUUUUUGUUUAUUCUUUUUAAAAAAUAAAUUUAACUAAAAAUACAAAACAAAAUGACUUCAAACUUAAAACUUCGGAUAUAUACAGCCAGUGGAUUAAGAUUUUAUUUAAAACACUUGUUAAUUAAUUAUGUACUUUUAGCUACAAGAUAAUUUUACGAGGAAAAUUAACCAAAAAACUUAUAUCAGCAUGUUAUUGUAGUAGAACAAUUAAAAACUUUUUGAUUACAAAAUUUCUAAUCAAAUAACUUUACCCCUCUGCGUCCUUCGAACUGAACCCGUCUUUAUAAAAGCCAGAGACUCGAAUCUUAAAUUUUUUCGAACACACAUGCAGGAAUAAUUUUCGGUACAAACCAACUUAAAAACUAAAAAAAACAUUAUUUGGUACUAAACUCUUUUUUCUUUUUUAUUCAAAUUAAUAUAUCGGUGAGCUUUCAAAGAAGUAGCACAAAUUCGUGUUAACUUGUGCAGGUGACAUUUCUAAUUUCUAAUAUUAUUAUUAUGUCACUAGCUUUGGCAUUUUCUAAGCACAAUUGGACAAAUUGGUAUGGUGGCGUUACAAGUGCAACAAGGGUUACGAGGAUUAAUAUAAAUUUUUAGGUAAAUUAAAGUUUAGACAAAAAAUUAUUUUUUAUUGUUUAUUUGUAUAAUUGUGGAAGUGAAGGUUUUUUUAAUUAUGUUGUUUGUUUAGGGUUCGUUUGGAAUUGCGGGGAGAUUGUGUUACAUGCGGUGAGAAACGACGAUCAGAAAAUAUCCUAUUUGUUUCCGCAUGUAAUAUUGCUCUUCGCAUAUUAUGGUUAGUCGAUUACGAUAUAUUUUCUACGGUCUCAUCGGAGAACCCAGAACCAUUUUUCUAUAUGCCUUUUUCCAACUCUAUUCUAUCUAAUAGCAUUAUACCAAACUAAUAAGCCUAAGUGAGGGAUUAAUUAAUAUUUUACUAUUAUUUUUUAUUUUUUUUUUCUCGGGUCAAAAUUAGUUAUAUUAUUUUGAAAAAAUUAAAUAAAAUUAUAAUGAUUCAAACACGAAGGUGACUAAAGUGCUUUAACUCUCUCCACUUUUCGUGGAACAAACACAUGCGACUAUGAUGUUGCACGAUUAUGUCAUUGACAUUUGGGAACCGCAUACGUGGCUCCACCACAUCCGUCCAUUUCACUGGGGUAAUUGAAAAAUGAUAAGAAACUAACCUAAGCUACAUAAGAAUUUAUCAGAUAUUUGUUGAUUUUUAAAAUGUGUGUAAAUUUAUACAUGAUUGCUAUUAAAUGUAGGAUUCCAAUGGGAGACUUAUUUUUUCGAAUAAGGUAUUGUGAGGGUAAUUUUUAAUGUAACACUCAGUUUUAUGAGCACAUAUGAUAAUAUUAUCCAUUCAAUAUUAAUUUCAUAUGUUGGAGUUGAAUAAUUUAAAAUUAUCGUCCGGAACAAUAAUGCUCAAACUUUAUGAAAAUAUUUGUUUAUGAUAAUAUAAAAAAAUAAAAAAAUAAAAAAAAUAAUUUUGAAGUUAUUGUGAUAUAAUGGAUUUUAACAAAUAAGUAAAAUUAUAGUACAAAUUUUAGUCAGUAUUUUUUUACAGCGACUGAUUUAGUUGGAAAUAUUUUAGGAUAAAAUAGAUAUAAAAACAUGCUCAAAAAUUUGUACUAUAAUUUUACUUAUUUGUUAAAAUCCAUUAUAUCACAAUAACUUCAAAAUUAUUUUUUUUAUUUUUUUAUUUUUUUAUAUUAUCAUNUAUAGUACAAAUUUUAGUCAGUAUUUUUUUACAGCGACUGAUUUAGUUGGAAAUAUUUUAGGAUAAAAUAGAUAUAAAAACAUGCUCAAAAAUUUAAAUUUAGUUUGUGAGGGCUGAGAGUUGAAAUACUUGAAAGGUGAAAGACUUUUUGGCAAUCGUGCAAUUUUAGUACAGUCCACCUAAGCAUGUAUAUCCAGAGAUGUUCUUAUCUCUUUCAUUUGAAGCUUCCAGAGAGAGAAUGAGAGAGAGAGAUUAGGAUCUUAAUAUUAUUAUAUUUUUUUGACUUUUUUUGAUGAAUUUUUAUAAAAAUUGAAAGUUAGAAAUUGAUUUUUUUUAUACGUUUUAGGAAUUGAUUUCGCUUGAUUUUGAUAAGAAAUUUUUUAAGCUACUCUAAAGUGUUGUGGUUGUUGUUCGGAUUAGGAGAGCAGUAACAGAUCACCAUGCUAUCCUGACUACCAUUCUGUUUCUCGAAUUUGCGAUAUAGGUGUAUUCCGUAUUAUCAAAAUUGAUGGACUAAUUUUUAUAUCCAUAUUAUAAUAUUUAGCGUAUGAAAUGAAUUACUGACAUAAUUGAGAUAAUAGUAUUAUUUUUACACCUAUCUAUAGAGUCUAUUGAGACAUACAUAUUAUAUGAUAUUGUUUUGGAGGCCAACAAAGAGUGAUAGAUAGUAUGGACUUAUAACCAUAUUUGAAACAUUAUGAUAAUAUUGUCAUAAUUUGUUUAAUCAUUGUAUUUGACUACAACUUAUAUAAUAUUUUGAGUUUAAUAGUGAUAUUACACUCCGUUAAGGUAGUGCCCGCGAGUGCCACUCCGGAGAUUAAGUUAUGAGAUAUUAUUAUAAUAUGUGCCAGACAUUAGUCUGUAUGAUAGCGGAUUACUAUAGGUGAGUGCUGGACACAAAGCGGCACAUGCUAAACUUGACUAUUGAGUCGGUCAUUAUAAUUGGAUAUUCUUGCAGUAUUUUAUUUAGUAUCUAAUCGAUGCAUGAAAUAUAUGAUCGAUUUACAGUUUUCAGUUAUGUUGUAGAGACAUGAUAAUAGUAGUUGCUUUCAGUAAUUAUUUAUAUUAGUAUUUGUUUAUUUAUAUUGCUUGGUUAUUUAUUAUUUUUACCUAUUAUGGAUCUAGUGGUGUAAACGUCAGUAUUGUCGACUGUACUCACUGAAAACUAUUGAUUAUAAUUCUUAUACCUUUUUAUUAAUAUUUUAGUUCAGAAUCUUCAAUAACAACGACUGAUGGAGAUAAGAGGAUCGCAGAUAGUUAGUAUCUUUUACCCUCUUUGUGUGUAUAACUGACCACCUAUUAGUGUAUAUAGCAAUAUAUGUAUAGUAUUUUGAGGUUUGGAGUGGUUAACGAUGUUAUAUUAUUUUAAGAACAGGUGUAGGGAUAAUUGUAUGUUUAUAAUAUUACCAUAAUACAUAAUUUUUAUUUUACUUGCAAUUGUUGGAUUUUAGUUUUUUUUUGACAAAUUUUUGUUGACGUUUCGCAUGUAUAAAAUAUAUUCUCAUGCAUACGGCCGGUCUAUUGAGGUAAUCUGAAUUUUUGCUGUAAUUCGGAACGUGAUAUUUAUACAAGUCUAUUUACCUAAAAUGUGAAAAAUAUUAUAGAGUUGGGAUUGAUGCAACUAGAAAAUCCAUAAACAUGAAAUUUUAUCAGUUGGUAAAUAAAAGAUACAGUUUUAAUUUUUUUAAAUUUAAAUUAUCGAUAUGAUUUUGUUUAUUAGAUAUGUAUAAACAAACUCAUAUAAUUAAUAACAAUUUAAUGCAAUUUCGACAAAAUACUGCUACAGCUUCCUAAAUUAGUAAUUUGUUUAUAUAUACUUUUUAAAAUAUUAUAUAAAUUUAUUAACACAUCCAUAAUAUUUUGAUAAAUAUUUCACCAUAUAUAUAUAUAUAUUUUAUAUAUAUUAUUAAGGAGUAACACUUUCCCGUGGUUCACACGCGCUCCUCCUGCAGAUGCCGUGUGGGACAAUUCAUGCAUGGGUACAUUGGCCACGCAUGUAUCUAAUAAUGGAUAAAUAAUAAAUAAAUAAAUAAAUAAAAGAUCUCAAAAUGUACCCGAGAAUAUUCCCCAAGUGGUAAUUUAGUUAGCGAGCAAUUUAAUUAAAUUUGAUGAUAGUAACACCGCCUAUUAAAAUUAUAUUUAGACAUUGUAUAUUUAUUAGUAUUAAAAUUGCAAUAACAAAAAUUUAUAUUAUUAUAAGUGGUAAAUUUUUUAAUUUAUUUUAUUAUGCUUUAGCGUAAUUUAAUACCUGAAAUACUAAACAUCAAGUUUUACCAUCUACGUCAAGAAUAAUUUUAGAUUAUUAUAUUUAGCUAUUCUAUAAUUUCUAGUGUGUUUUUAAAUAUGAUUUUCAUAGGUUAAAUUCCACAAUUUAACCCAAAUGUAAUUUAAAAAAUUCUCAAAAUUGUAGUGUGGCCCUCGCACAGGACAGCACCAUCCCCUGCUUUCCUUGUGAACUUCCUCUCUCCCACACGCACCAAAACCCCAUCCCUCUCUCUCUCUCCUACAUAUACCAAAUCCCCCCCACCCCACCACCACACUCACCAACCCCAAUCACACCAAAAAACACGAAAACUCUCUCUGUAAUCUCUCCCUCAGAUCAAAUCACCUGGAAAAAGAUCCAAUUUUGGCGAGAUGUGUGGCGGCGCGAUCAUCUCCGGCGACAUCCCCACCACGGCGGCGGAGCUGCUGUGGCCCGGUCUCAAGAAUAAGUCCAAGAAUAAGUACAAGAAUAAGAAGAAUAAGCAGAGGAGCAGUAAAUUGGUUGAGAUCGAGGAGGAGGAGGAGGAGGAGGAGGAGGAGGAGGACUUCGAGGCGGAUUUCGAGGAGUUCGAGGACGAAUCGGAGGAGGUGGAGGAAGCGGAGGAGAUCGAGUUCAAGCCCUUCGCCUCCGUAGCGCCGCCGCUUAAACGAGGUAAAGUUUUCGCUUUUAAUGUGGUUUCGGGGGCCAAAGUUUUGAUUUUUAUUUGGUUUUUCCCCCCCUUUUUUUUUUGCCUUUUUUCUCGAUCUUCUGUUGAUUGUUAUUUUUAUUGUGAUCUCGGAUGAGUCGUUUCGGUUGUGAGAUGGGUUUUGGCUUGUUUAUCUGUUUGUUUGUUUGAGAUUGUUGAUGCUUUGUUUUGGAUUAGUAGAGAGGAAGAGAUUAGAAGGGGAAAAAGAAAUUAAUUUUAUCUUAUAUAUUGGAGAAAAAGAGAGAAAAAUGGUAGUUUUUUGAAAUAAUAGAAGUGAUUGUUUUACUCCUCCUUUUAUUCUCUGCCCUUUUGUCCCCAAAUUUAAUCAUUUGAGAUCAGAGUUAAUACACAGUUUAUUAAUGCUUAAUCUAGUUGAUUCAUUGGGUGCCAUCAGAUUGGAAAAGCCUACUUUUUGCUCAAUUAAUUCAGUAAAAGAGAUCUGUAGUUCAUUUUUUAGGAAAAAAGUAAAAAAAAAAAAAAAAAAAAAAAGUUUGUUAAUUGAUGUGGAAGAGAUCUAUUUGAAUUUUUGAUUGGUACGAAAUAGCUCCUAAAAGUUGGAAUUUUGCCCAAAUUUUAGAAAUUACUCAUCUGGUUCAAAGAUCACUUUUUUUCCCUCUUCAACUUUAACCCUUAUUUUUUAUCAAAUUGUAGAGUGCUCUACCACCUUGAGAUCUGCGGAUUUCGAUGGACAUUCGGUUAGAAUAGCCAGCAGGAAGAGGAAGAAUCAGUACCGGGGAAUUCGCCAGCGCCCGUGGGGCAAAUGGGCUGCUGAGAUUCGAGAUCCUCGCAAAGGGGUGCGAGUAUGGCUCGGCACCUUCAACACUGCUGAAGAGGCUGCUAGAGCUUACGACGUCGAAGCCCGUCGGAUCCGCGGCAAGAAAGCCAAGGUCAACUUCCCAGAAUCCGGUUCCAGUGCCCAAAAGCGCCACCAGAAGCAAAAGCCGAUUCCUCCGUCGGUUCCCAAACCAAACUCGACAGAAAAUUUGAACUUCACUGGUUCCUUCGGCUCUCUCAAUUACGCAGAUGGCAAUUUUGUCUCUGAUUACCGGGGGAUUGUCGAAGAAAAGCAGCUGAAAACGCCACAAACCGACCCAACCUGCUUUCGAGCAACAAAUCACUUUUCUGAUCAAGGAAGCAACUCUUUCGAUUGCUCGGACUUCGCUUGGGAACCUGAGAUUAAGUACCCGGAGACAACGUCGCUUCUUACUCCCUCCGUAAAUAACAGCGAUGAGACCCAAUUUGUCGAACACGGUAGUAACCCUCUAAAGAAAUUGAAAGGUGAUUCCGGAGAAGCUGUGGCAGUGGAGGAGAACAAAGAAGUAAAACUCGUGGACGAGUUAGACUUCGAGCCGUAUUUGAAAUUCUUGCAGUUCCCGGAUAUUGAAGAGAGCUCGUACGAAACUAUCGACGGCCUUUUCAAUGGCGAUGCGGCGCAAGACGGGGUGAGCCUUGUCGACCUUUGGAGCUUCGAUGACCUCCCCAUGGAGGGUAGUGUCUAUUGAGAAAUGUUAAGCCCUGGAUGCUGGGUUGUUUCUGUAAAUACAGCGAAUAAGUAAGCAAGCGUUUCCGUAAGUUGAUCGCGUAAACAUGAUUUCUGUUGCUCUAUCUUUUGUUGAAAAUGAGAUCUUUCUUUCAAUAUUUUUUAUUUUUAUUUUUCCAGGAAUUGAUAUUGGAGGAUGUGGAGUGCCAAGAACUAUUCAUGAGGCUUUAGUAAAUUAGGUUGUGGUGUCUGUUUAUGAUUUAUAAAUGUGCUCGAAGCACAAUUGCUUAAGAGUUGUAUUGUGCUCCUGCUAUGUGUUUUUGUUUCUGGUUAUUGAUCUCGAAGAUCUUCUAUGUUGUUGAACAUUCUCUCGCAUUUAGCUGUGUUUCUUUGCUAUUGAAGAUGCUUUUAACUUCAAAUUCUUGUUAGUUUCUAACUAGUUUUUAUUCUUUGUGGACUGCAUGGAUCUUGAGUAAUGAAAUAUGCCCAGAGUUGAUUUUUCACUAGGGGUGUAAUUCUUUAAUAAAUGCUUUUAGCAGUGGAAAAAUAAACAGUAUACAGUUAAUAACUAGUAGUCCCUCUUCUAAAAUAUUAAGACUUCUAAAAUAUUUUUUUGAGAGAAAGGUAGCGCGCUACCCGCUUCAGUCAGAAAGUAAGUGAAUUAAGCUACAUGGGUGAGGCAACAAGGCCUCGACGAGGGACGGACGAAAAAAAGAAAAAAAAAAAAGUUCGAUCGAUCACUUCUUUGGACUAAGUUUCCUCCACAGGUCCGUCAACUGCUUAAUCUUAUAAAUACAGGCUAUUGGGUUGUUCUGGGUCGCCGUGAAGAUCGCUCUGUUUCUAGAAUCCCAAGAAACCCACCAGCAGGCUAUCAGGCCUAUGAGACUGGUUGAGGUCGAUUGUGAUCUCGUACAUCCUGCCCAUCUAUCCCACACUUGACGCACUUCCUCUCCCAGAUCUCCUAGCUGAAUAUUCUCCUGGGUCGUCGCCAUUAGGAAUCUGGUAACUACGCAUUGUGUGAAUAGGUGGUCGACUGUUUUCUCUUCCAGUCCACACAGCAUGCAUUUCGUGUUGCCGACCCAUCCCCUCUUAACCAAAUUGUCAGCAGUAAGCACUCUCUUCUUAAGGACAAGCCAACAGAACACUUUCACUUUUAAAGGCAGGCGUAAAGACCAGAUCUUGCUCGAACGGGCAUCCCUCAUGCCUCCGUCGCCCAAAGUUGAAUAAGUUGACUUCACCGUAAAACAUCCGUCGGUGCUCCAACGCCAAUGUACACUGUCCUGCCCCUGACUAAUUGAAACAUUGGAAAUUCUGCCCUUAAGAGCAGUAAUGUCAGGGCAAACACUAGGAUUAACAGAAGUGUCACCACCAAGAAUCGUUUCCCAGCACCAACCGUUGCUAUUCAACCCGUCACGGAUUUUCAGGUUUUUACCAGGUGAUAAGUGAAACAAUUCAGGGAACGACGAACGUAGCGUUGUUUCCCCACACCAACGGUCCUCCCAAAAGUCGAUGUGUCGUCCGUUACCCAGCUUAUAAAAAGCUCCCCAUUUAAAAAUUUCCUUCAUACUUAGUACACCCUUCCACCAAUACGAAGGUGGUCUAAACGAUCGUCCCUCCUUCAACGGUCUUCUUCUACGAUAGAACAAUUCGUGGAUAAGAUUAUUCCACUGUAACAGGGGAGCAGUUAGAAAUUUCCACCACCACUUAACAAGUAGGGCUUGGUUCAUCGUAGUAAUGUCGAGAAUGCCUAGUCCGCUUUCCUUCUUGUUACGGCAAACAUUCUGCCAUGAAACCAGACAUCUUAUUCCUGGGUUAGACAACUGUCCUGUCCAGAAAAAAUCUCUGCGUACAGUCUCUAUACGCUUGAUUACCCAUUUAGGGGUCGUAAAGACCGAGAGAUAGUAUAGGGGUAGAUUGGAGAGUACUGCUUUUACAAGGAUAAGUCUACCCCCGCUUGAAAGAAGUUUACCCUGCCACCCGUCGAUUCUACUUUGAAUUUUACAGAUGAUCCCCCUCUAGUCCUCCUUGGAAGGUGGUUUGAUCGACAAGGGCAACCCCAGAUACUUAGUGGGUAGAGUACCCACUCUACAUCCGAGUAAAUGCGCAAUCCAACUGUCCUUUCCCUGUGUGUGACCAGUAUAGUAGACUUCCGAUUUCUCUCUAUUAAUUCUCAAUCCAGAUGCCCAUUCGAAGAGUUGCCAAAUGAAUUUUAGGUUUCUCAAACAUCUUUUCUUGGCUUUACAGAAGAAGAAGGUAUCGUCUGCAAAUUGAAUGAGGGUAGUUCUGGAUGUCUCAGUGGGACCGAUGCCUACAAUGAGAUUGUUACGAAUAGCCUCAUUCGUCAGUCUGGCAAGACAUUCCGCGACUAGUAAGAAAAGAAAAGGGGAGAGCGGAUCCCCUUGUCGUAUGCCCCUCUUCGUUUUAAUCCAAUUGGUGACGUCAUCGUUAAUCAGGACUGCAACCUUGGCGUUGCAGACACAUAGUUUGAUCCAAUUACACCACUUUUCGUCGAAGUCCCACCAGUGUAAACAGCUAAACAGGAAAGGCCAAUAAAUUCUGUCGUAAGCCUUUUCGAAAUCCACCUUUACCCCGACCCCCUCAUCCCCCGUCCUACUUGCCCACCCUAAAAGCUCUCUAACGGUUACAAAAGUAUCAGUGAUGUUUCUCCCCUUCAGAAAAGCCGAUUGGGAGGGGGAUAUUAUGUCGCUCAAAACCUGUUCCAAUCGAUUGGCUAUAACCUUAGAACGGAAACAAAGUGGUCUUCGUGAUUGUUAUUAUGGUUUAAGGUUAAUUUGAUUAUCAUCGCAAAGCCAAAAAAAAGCUGUUCUAAUCUUCUGUAACAUUUUGGUUGUGCUGCACAUGUUUAGGUUGUGCUUCUUAUCUUUUCCAUUUCCUUGCUCUUAAAUCUUUUUUUUUCUCCCAUGUUCUUGUUCUUGGUCAAGUAAAAUACCUUUGAAAGUGCACACUUUUUCUUUCAUUUUUUUAAAGAAAAAAUAGAACGUAAAAGAAAACGUUUGCAUUAAGACCCGGCCCUAGUGAAACAACCUCUACUAUCAUGUUUCACCAAACUGGCACUAGCUCACAAUUUGAAUUGACCUUCGCCUAACCUUGUGAGCUUGUUUUGACUUUAUCCCUAGUAAUAAUACUGAACAAAAAUUGAAUUGGUGCUCGAAUCCUGAAGCAACGUGCACGAAAAUUACACCUCCUCACUGUAGGAAACCUGCUAGAAUCUUUUAAAGCACUACAAGAAUGAUAAUUUGUGUGUCGAUUAAUACUUCAUGCUGGAAAAACAUGCCACACGUAAGCUUUUACUCUGAAACAGCAAAUAAAGAAAAAAGCUACCUUUAAAAAGUUGAAAUGAUCUCAAUAUUCCCUAAUUUUCCAUUUUCUUUGCAUCUUCGCGAUUGUUCGACAAGACGCGGUUUUACAAUUCGAUUUGAAUGGGCAAAUGAGAAAUAGUUAGGUAGACCAAAUCUACUGUACCAUCCGCAGACAAGUAACCAGUUAGGUAGUUUCUGAUUCGAGAAAAAGCUAUUCAGAGGGUCCUGGCGAAAAAUGUGAGACAGGUUACCAAAACAGCGACUGAAUGAAUAUGUUCAAAUAUUUACAAUUUAUUCCACAAUCAAACCGUUCAAACACAUCGACCGCAUGAAGAUUAUUCUGUGCAAGCCUACUGGAUAUUUACAUGAUUUAUUUCAGAAUACCAAUGAAUGCGACUAACUAGGGGGAUGAUAUGGAAAAGACGAUAAAAGAAGAAUGAUAUGUACAAAAGAAAAAGGACGUAAGCUAACAUCCCAUUUUUGAGUAUAGCUCGUGGAGAGCUGUGUAUAAUGGUGCAGCAGCUCGGGGCCUCUCCACCUGCCCAAAGAGGAUGUCGUGGGUGGUCAAAUAAGGAUCACCGUAGAAGCUGAGAUUAGUCUCGGUCCUAGUCGCAACAACGUUCCCUUCCAAUGAAACCCCAACAAAAGCCCCUGUUUCGAAAAACUCUCAUCAGAACAACAUAGUUUGUAAAAUAUACUAAUAACCAGUUCUUCGUAUAAAUGGAGCUUAUAAGUUGUCAAAAGGAAAAAAAGAUAGCUAAAAGUUUGGUACCAAGUCAUUUGACCAAGACUUGUCUAAAAAAAGCUGAUUAUAGAAAUCAUAGCAAUUUUUUUGCUAGUAACACCACUAUUACCAAGAAAAAAACAAAUGAAACUAUUACGAGUUCGCCUUGCAGAUAAGAUUUCCAUGUUACCCAGUUCUAUACUAAAAGACACAAGGCGGACUUUGGUGAACAUUUUUUUGCUAAAAAUUUCCUAGAUCUUAGGAAAUAUUCAGAACAGCAAAAGUUGUGGGAUUAAGCUAGGGCUACAAGGAUACAUAUUUCCACCAUGAAAGCACUCUCUACCUUUGCUGCAACUGUAAGUAUAACACAUUCCGGAACCUUUGUUGCCAGCUCGAAGAUCUGCCUCAAGAGCUCUUCCAACAGGUCCUGCCGCAAUAUUGACACCAGCCCCAAGAGAAACAUGCAUGGUACUACUAAAUGCCUUAACAGCUUUUUGGCCAUGGAGCACAAUGAUGAAGUCCACAAGUUCUCCUCCAAACUGGAAGGAACGACAAAAGGAAACCAAUUUACAUCAUAGGAUACUUCUAUAAUCUUAAACAGACAAAUCCCAUACAACAGAGGUAUCGAAGCCUGGAUCUGCAUCAUAAUACUUAAUACUGAAAAUAUUAAGAAGUCAUUGGUUUUUCUUUUUUGCAGACAAAGCAUCAAUUUUCCACGUCAAAAUUCAAAAUAUUUCACUCAGAUUCUUUGCAUCUCUUACCAUCAAAUGAGAGAGAGAGAGAGAGAGAGAGAUGCAAACAAAUAAAUGGACAGAUUAGAGAUUAGAUUUUUCAUAGGUGCCUUCAUAAGUUCGUCUAUGCGAUUAAGACAAUCUUGUUCUACUAUAAUUAUAGCCCAUUUUGGAUUUAUUUUAUGCCACAUUUCUUCAUUACGUUCCAACCACCUUUUAUCUGAUCAACCAUGCAGAUCUCAGACUACACACAACCAUUGGGGGCAGAUUUUUAUACUAUAAUUGCAUCAAUUGUUUUAGAUUUUAAAUUGGAUUAAUAAGAAGCAACAAUAAAGAACGGAAUAAAACAAUUUAAUGGAAUGCUUACCUGCAGUCCCCAUCCUAGUCCAACAGAUAAUAUUGCAGAUGGAGCAGACCAUGAUCCAUCAGACCUCCUAGAAACCACUAGACCAGUACCAACUUUGUACGUGACAAGUGCACCAGCCUUAGCAACUGUUAGUAUGGCAAGCCCAUUUGCUCCUUUAAGCACUGCAGAGGGAAUAGAAUUCUCAGGGUUUAAUCUACCAACCUGCAUAUUGGAAACAAUUUUUUUUUUUUUGAGUAACAUGGAUGAAAAGCUAAAAAUUAGAAACUCGAGAAAAAAAAAAAAAAAAUCCUACCUGGCAAUAACUUCUCAAAGUAUUUGCGGACUUAUAUAUCUCAUAUUCCAUCGAUAAGCCAAUAGGCAAAUUCAACCACCCUCUAGUGCAUGUCCAAUCCGUAACAUCAUGCUUUGCUGACUGUGUGGCAUUACUUAUGUAGCUAAUCAAUAUGCCCUGCAGCGGAUCGAGCCUCUCAUAGCAAGCAUCACAAACUCUUUGUGGGUCCCGCACUCUGAACUUUAUAGGCAGCAAACAUCUUCCCCGCGAGCAAUCUUUGCAGAAAAGCCCCCCACAAAACCGACAAUGAUGCCUUCCACGAGUGAGAGCUGUGAAAGAGGAAUUGCAUUGCAUGCAAACAGUAGAAUAACUAUCUGGCAACCAUUCCGGAGGUUCUGCUAGAAGUACCUCCCUGUAAGUACUAUAAUUCAAAGCUUCCGCUUCAAGGAGAGGCGGUGCACUUGGUAAACAAACUGAUGGGUGUAUGAAAGUAUCCCCAUCCUUUUCAGACCUAAGAAAUGAUAUAUCAGAGCUACAGCUUCGCUGUGGUGGAUCACUGUUACGCGCUCGGCUUUGGCCAGUGAGAAUGGCAACUAACCCAGUAAAUACAUUUUUCAAAUUCACUUCAGGAUUAGCAUGGGGUUUUGAAAAGAUAGUAGGAUCCUCACUUGAAUCAUAAACCUCGUCCAGAAGAUCCGAUUCCAUUGUGGGGGGGUAAAGAUAUUCCGGUUGUAAAGAUUUUGAACGUGAUGAAGACUUUGGAUUGCCACUAGGAAGAUCAGAACUGAAGGUCUUAUCCUUUUGACUAAAAUUAUCAAGUUUUAAAAGGGAAGAAAAUGAAAUCAUUCCUUCAUGGUUAGCCAUGAAUUCAUUCAGAACUAACGACUUAUCGAAGCACAGAGCUUCACCUGCAGGUCAUAACAAAAAAAAAAUAUCAGGUUAUAGAGCUCCUCUUGACUCUAUAAAAUCACAGCAGCCAGCAAUUUUGAGAGGAAAAUGAUAAUAAUAAUAAUAAUAAUAAUUUGCAGGACGCAAUGAAGGCAAACCGACUAGAAUUAGCAAUGUAACUAUUUCACUCAUCUAGUCCACCAGAAGCAGUUAUCAUAAUGUGUUUUUGGAACAAAGAAAACAGAAAAUUUUCAACUACAGUGUAAAACAACUAUUGACAAUAUAUUAAGAAAUUCUUACUGACAAUCAUCUAAGAUAAGAAUUUGUACACACAAUUUACUUCUGCGAAACAAACUAAUGAAAUUGUAUAUCUCAAAUUGCUAUAACAAUUUGUGGCUUUUUUUUUUUUCGAAGGUCGGAUUUUCAUAUUUCUGUUCUCAAACCUUCGUUUAUUAGACAGUAUGAGCGAAUGCAUAUGCACAUAAUGGUACCAAAUCCUGAAUGUUGCUCUAUGAUUAAAGCUAGGUGAAAUUGAAGACAUCUUGGAAUAUAGUUUCGAGUGAAAUUUGGAUCAGAUUCAGUUUAAUCUAUUAUGUACUACUUUAAAUUCAAUUCAAGUCUAUUGGGUCGCUUCAUGAUUGAUUUAUACAACUCCACUAUCCAAUUUUGAUGCAAGAGUGCUCAAAUCCCCAAAAUUGGGAUUACACUAAGAAAUAUAAGAUGAAAUGAAUAGUGUUGCCUCCAUAAGAAGCCCUAGCCGACCCCUUUGGUAGCGCAAUAGCUUGUGAUGGAUCAUGAUGGAUUAACCAAAAAUUAGGGUUUGCUAAUUCGCUAUUCAGAUAGAUACAAUACAUCUACAAACCACAAAAACAACAGCGAACUCAAAUCACCAAGUUAUCCUACCCAAAUCAAUCGAAGAUCCCUAAUAACCCUAAAAUCAUCACAAACCCCACCAAAAUGCAACCAAAAACAAAAGGAGAAAAAGGAAAUCGGAAACAAUUUCAAGUGAUUAAGAAUCGCAAAGGAAUAGGUCGAUCCUCACCUGGGGAUUCGAUUGCUCGAACGAGUUGGAUCGAUCGUGGGGGAUGAGAUAGAGAGGGGGAUUCGAUUGUUUCGCGUGAAAGGAGGCGAGAGGGAAACGAAAUAUCGAGGACGACACGGCAAGUCGGCAACGCUAUAAAAGGUUUCUUUUUUAAAAAAAAAAAAAAAAAAUUAUUUAUUACAUAAAUAACGAUAUAUAUAAAUAUAUUUAUAAAAUUAAUAUUAAAGAAUUUGAAGGUAAAAUCCAUACUUGUCCUGGUAAGUGGUCAUGCUGGGCCAUAAAUCAAAUCACAAUUUUAUAGUUCAAAUAAGAACAAAAAAAAAAAAAAAAAAAAAUCUUUCUCCAUGUCAAUCUCUUGAAUGAAAUGUAGGGCAUGCUGGUAUGGCAUGGCCCUCGUGAUCGAUUUGGUUCAAGAUUUAUAAUAUUUCAAUAAUUUUCUAUAUUUUCUGUAACAACUCAAUCCGCUAGCAACAAUAAUUUGUUGGGGCGAAACCAACAGCCCAAAAUAUUUAAGCUCAGUUAUUAUUACUAGCGUGUAGGUUUUAUAUAUUCUAAUCAUGACUAUGAGGUGUUACAUUUUCAAUUGAAAAUAUUUAAAUUUUUGUCAUCCAACUUAAAUUAGGUAGUUGUUAGUUGUAAAAGGCGCCAGUGAAGUAUUAGAAUUACUGUAGAUUUUUAGAUGGCAGAUAUACUAAAUUAUCACGAAGUAAUAGACAUUUUUAUUAUGAGAAUUAUUAGCAGAUCAUUAAUGAAAAUAUAGUUGUUCUUAACAACCGCCCACUCAAGUGACUUUGACAGUAACAUAUUUAUCAUUCCUAAUAUAAAACAUAAGACAUUUAAAGUUGGUGGGAUUUCACUUUACUUUAGAUGUGACCUGAAAGGAGAUUUGAGGAUAUAUAUCUUAAUUUUGUUUCAUAAUGUUUUGUUUUUAAAGACAUUUAUAUAAGCUACCACACACACCUCUCCUCUCGCUUCCUGUGGGAUUUAAAUUAAAGGUAAUUACUGUAAGUGAUGGUAAAUUUUAUCUUCCAUAAUUUAUUCUGUUAUUUGAAGAAAACCUGCUUUUUUGAUAAGUUUACGAUUUUCGCUUCAAGUCUCUUAACAGAUUUAUAGCAGGAUUAAACUGUUUAUAUCAAAACAUUUUUUUUCCUCUAAAAACUAAGGAAAAAAAAUAAAAGAUUUGGAUGUCCUUUUGUUGUAAAGGAUGGUUAAAAUUGAAGUUUUAUGUCUUAAUAAUAGAAACCUCAAUUAAGAGCUUUUACUUCUGCUGCAGCGAAGAACAGUUUACGAAGUGAAGCUUUUGGAAAGGGCAAAGCUAAUCCAAAUCUAAUCUGAUCAAAAGAUAAACCAUCUAUAUCUCUACAGAAUAUAGCAAUCUUUUUUUCUUCAUUUUUUUUAUCUUUUGUUGAAAGAAGGAGAGAGUAAGUUAUAAAUCAAGAUGUUCUUUUUUUGGUUGCAUGAGCUCUACUUAAAGCAAACAUGUAAAUAUAUAAAUGAGCUUCAGGAAUGAAAAGGGAGCAAAUAUUUUUUAUUAAACAAACUGAAAUGAAGCCUUAUCCAUAGCAUUCCAUUGGAAAACACCACACACACAGCAAUUCCCAAACCUACUACAACUACAAUCCAUCAAUGACCCUAAACUACCCACAGGGCAAAGCCAUUGUCUCCCAGAUCUCUUCCCAUUCUUUAAAAAAAAAAAAAACAAAAUAAAAAAAAACAAAAUAAAAACGAACACGACCGACCGAUCCUUUUCUCGAUUCCGCCCAAUCGAUUCCGCCCAAAUCACUUGGUCCCGUUUACCGCAGCCUCUCCAUCGACGGCCAGAGGAACGGACUUGGCCUGCAUUUAGACACAACCAAGUUUCUAAGUUUCACGAAACGAUAUCGCGUUUGUUAAAGCACCUGAGUAACGAAAAGAAAAGCGCUACCACUCACCAGAUUACGAUACUUGAGGGCGUAGAACAUCUCGAGGUAGCGCUUCGUCUCGCGCCUGUCCAGGUUGGAGACAUACUUCCAGAACCCAUAAACACCGGAGAGAGUCAUCAGCCUCUCCGAGUAAAGCUGCCAUGUGUACCUACACGAAAUUUAUAUUAAGAUAACAGCACCACUAUCACUGAAUAACUAAAAUUCUCGUCGGCAUGACAUCGAAAGUGCUUUCGCAAAAAGCGCUUACUUCUCUUCGAUCCGCUUAAGACCUCCGUCAGAUAUCUUGCUCCAGUGGGUCGGAUCCUCCUUGCACUUUUCGAAGAAGUCCACAAGCAGCGCAGAAGCCUUGUCGCCUUGGUACGGAUCGAUGUGGAAGCCCGAGACGCCGUGAACUAUGAUCUCGGCUGGGCCGCCGUACGCAGUCGCGAAUGUGGGGAGUCCGCAUGUCAUGGACUCGACAACGGUGAGCCCAAAGGCUUCAUAGAAUGCAGGCUGAAACACAAGCAAAAUUCAUAGAAUAGACUUCAGAAGAGAAACGAAAGGCGCGUUUAAAUACAUCUACACCUUCAGAACUAACUACUUAUAUAUCCCUGCAAAAGGGAGGAUAAAAGGGAGUUUAAUGUAGUAAGAAAUGAACUAUACCUGCACAAAAGCACCCUUAGUAUCGCAAAUGUAACGGUAGAGCUCGCCAUUGCGAACCCGGUUCAUCUGAGCGGAGAUCCACCGAAUGUGGCCAUCCAAUUUAUACUCUUCAAUUAAGUUGUACAUCUUCUUGAACUCUGCUUGCUCCUCUUUGUCCUUCGACUCUUUCCCGUGGUCACCACACACCACCACGAGGUUAACCAGCUCCUGCAGACGCGGGUUGCGGCCGUAAAGCUCAACCAAUCCCGUCAAGUUCUUGACCCGGUCGAGUCUAGCCAUCGAGAAUAUAAUGGGCUUGGUUUUGUCCUUCAAUGCAAAUUUGUGCUCUGCAUUGUCGACUGGAUUGUACAGUAAUUCCUCAAUCUCUGGGUGAAGGGAGGUGAGUCUUUUGCUCGUCUCGGUGUACGGGAAAUAGAUCGACAUAUCAGCCCCAGGAGAAACGAUGUUGAAUUUCGGAUCGAACACGUCAAUUCCGUGAACAACCCGGUAUAGACCGGGCAUAGUGAAUGCGAUGUGAGACUCGUAUUGACCCACAGUGUCCUUGCUGAAUUAUUAAAAAAGAUAGUUGUAAUAUUUUAGCCAAUUAAUUAGUAAAAAGAUCAGAAAAUAUGCAGUAAAUUUCUCGUGGAAUCAAUAAUACCUUCCGGCGAUUUCCUGGAAAGUGCUAGUGAUGAUGAAGUCAGCAUGGUUCAUCGCGAUUAAAUCGGCAGUGAACUGGCAUGAGAAGUGGUACUGGUUCUCAAAAUUUUUCCAGUAGAUGUCUGAGUUUGGAUACUUGGUUUUCUCCAGUGCAUGGGCAAUGGUGCACUGCAUGACAAAAAAUAGAAAUUAAGAUUACCAAAGCUCAAAGACGGUGUCGCUAGCGAACAGGAAUCAAACCUGCGUAACACCCAAUUUAUGUGCGAGCAAAGAAGCAACGAGAUUCCCAUCACUGUAGUUUCCAAUGAUCAGAUCAGGUUUAGCCUGCAAUUCUCCGGCUAGCUCGUUCGCAACAUCCUAUAAUGAAGAGUUAAUAAAAGAAUUUAGACUAAUUCACUAAAACAAAAUGUUAAAUUAAUAGUAAUGUAGCAUGCAAGUAGAUAUAAGGAGGAGAGAAUCACCUCAGUGUAGGUCUCCAGGUAGGGCCACACUUCGAAACGAGAGAUCCAUUUUCGGAUGAUCCCGUGCUCCCCUCUAAACGGAACACGAAGGAUGUGGGUGUGCUCAGUUCCAAGGACCUUCUCAAGACGCUGCCCGCAGGUGGUGCCGACGGCAUCAGGGAGUAAUCUGGUAACCUGUGAAUGCCCAAAUUGUAGUCUUAGACGGACCCAAUUAUAAGAAGUUCUACUUUACGACCUAAACCUUUCAUUGCUUUUGAUUUGAGAAAAUUCCAUCAAGUUACAUUGAAACUGAAAAGGUUUUUAUCAAAUUGAAGAAUUUCUGUUAAGUGACGGAAUAUUCUGGGUAGGUUUCAAAUUCGGCGACAGUUUAUGUAGGAAAGGUCUACACACUCUUACCAUAUGAAUCAAAAUAAUAAAAGCGCGUCAACUUGAGAUCACUGCAAACUUACAAUGAGAAUUCGAGGGGUAAUAUCAAGACCUUGCUGCUUGAUUCUAAGCAGCAUCUCGUGCUCCAGAGCACGGACUUGAUCCAAAAUAUAAACAACCUGACCACCGGUGUCGGGAUAGCCCAAGACAUUAGCUUGGGCGAAGUAGCCGUGCGGAGAGAGGAUCACAACAUUGAAAACCAUAGGGAUAAUCCCGAGGAAAUUCUCCAAUGUGCACGGGUCAGGUGCCUCGAGGAGAUCUAGGAGGAGGUGAAUGUUCUCGUGGGCACGCUGGGCCGUAUCACCCCACCCCUUCUCCAAGCCGAGCUCUUGAAAUCUACAUGUUAGAAAAAAAGAGUUGUUGAGUAAUUACAGUAAUCUCAAGCAGCUAUAUAAUGAGGGGAAAUAGACGUAGAACAAACUACCUGUGGUGGAAUUCGGCGUACGGAGUGUCCGAGGGGAUACUCAACAGGUACUCCUCCGCUUUCCUCAGCGAAGCUUGGAGAGCACUGAGGCUGCGGAUUCUAUCGUUAAGCAUCAUAGUCUACACGGAUCAUUAAGGAACGAAUGGUCAUACUUCGAGUCCUCGAAAGCAACACGUUUAAGAAGAGCCGAGAAACUUACCAUCCCCUUGUAGUUGUGUUGCCGAAGGAAAUUGAGCAGGGGGUACAUGCUCUCCUUGUCAUGGAACAGCUUCGAGGAAAGGUGCCUAUUGAGGAACUGCACCCCGUUGCCGAUCGACUUCGACAGCGACGGACGAGGGAAAGAAGCAUUGAACGGCUCGAAGUCCAACUCGAGUACGAAGUUGUUUUGAGUGCUGAGCACAAAAUCAGAUGUAAUAUUUGAAAUCGAACCACGCCGAUCUUAACAAAAGGAGCAACGAAAGAUUAUGGUCUUUUUGGUAUAAAUAGAUCUAAUACCUGUCUUCCACAAGCUGCUCCUUGAACUGCAAGUACUCGGGCACAGUCAGCUCUUCAACGGCGAGCUCGCUCACGUUCACCCUCACAUAUUGCCAAACUCCGGGCCUCGGGCGGAUCGCGAGGGCAACCCAGGGAGGGAUGACAAUUGCUUCCUGAAUCAGAAAUAGAUGAUCAAUUGUGAUAAAUAUUACAGAUAAGCGCCUACUAAAAAAAAAAAGGUUUAUUCCUUACACAUAAUUCAGAUUUUACGCCGUAAAAUUCGCAAAAACAAAAGAAGAGAAUCGUAGUAUAGCGUGCAAGAUUGUUAUAAUAUUGACCUGCGCAGCCUUAAGAACAUCCUCGAAUGCCCCGUCCUUCAGCUUCUCUUUGUCGGAUUCGGGUAUCGCAGAAUUAUACUCGGCUAAGAUCUGAUGGGGUUGCAGCAUUCCCUUUCCUUGAUGCACAAGCCUGCAAAGAUUUUUAUUUAGUAAAAAGAAAAAAAGUCAAUUUUGUAUCAAACAACUCAAUAAUCCCUUAUCCAACCAAAAAAAUUACCCAUAAGAAAUAUUCUCUAGCCAAAUUUCAACAACCUGGGUCUUAAUAAUCUGCAUUUCACAUCUCAAUUUUUAGAUUAUUACCACUUUAACUCCGCGAUCGUCACAUUUUCAUGCAAAAAUAACCAACAAUUCCUAUAGGGAAAAAUGUGACAAGAACAGGGUUGAGUACUAAAUAUCUAAACAUGAAGUGGGUUAAAUGUUAGUAAUUUUCAGGUUUCAGAUUUAAUUUUUAACCCAAAAAAUAAUAAAUCACUUAACUGCUCCAGAUUUUAACAGCAGUUUAGCCAUGCAUGCAUAGAAUCAUCACUAACAAGGAGAACUAUUUAACUAUUUUCUAAAUUACACUACAAUUCAUCUGAAAAACUAAUGUGGUGAUUAAUUUACAAUAAUCACUCAACAAAAAAUUCAUAAAACUCCAUGAAUCAAACCUUGAGAAAACCGCGACCAAUUCGUUCGGAUGCGCGGAGAGGGAGUCGCCGAUCCGCUCCCUCACGCUGUGGAGGCGGCUCAGCACGGGCUCGGCGGCGGCUUCUCCCAUGAUAUCUCCUCUUCCUCAAGCCUCAAAAAAGCUCUUUUUUUUUUCUGCAACACAAAACAGAGACAGCAAUAUUACUAAAUUAUAAGGACUCGAUUAGAGUUUGACAUUGCAGCAUCACACAGAGAACUACACAAGUAAUCUACACAAGAAAUUUGAAAAAAAAAAGAAAAAAAGAAAAAAAAGAGCUAACAUUUACUCAAAAGGACUAGAGUAAAAUUUUGGCAGCUCAAGAGGACAUCAAAGAAGCCUAAAUAAGUCCUUAAUCUCAUCUCUUCCCCUGUUAGAGAUAAGCAGCAUGGUUUUUUUGUAAAAAAAAAUCAAAUUGUUUAAGAAAAAGUAGAAUAAAGAUUAGAACUUUGAAAUAAACAAAAAAAGAGAAAGAGAAAGUAAAAGGUGGCCACCACUUUGAAUGCUGAGGAGAGGAGAAUAGCUUGAGAAGGGAUGUGGAGGGAUCUUAAACACACAGUAAAGAAGAGUGUACUAAUGAGUAACACGUAGGAGAGAGAGAGAGAGAGAGAGAGAGAGAGAGAGAGAGAGAGCCAAGUUUGUGAUGUACGCAAGAGGAGCUCCUUUUUCCAAUAAGAAACGUGUAAUAGCACUUACAAAAAAAACUUGCAGAAUUAAAAAGCUGAUUUUUUUUAAAAUUUUUCGGUAAUCUGAAUGGUUUCAGAGAGAUAAAAGAGAGCAGAUUAAUUAAGAGAAAACACAGCAAUAAUAGUGAUAAGUGCAAUAAACUUUUUCUAAUUUUUUGAGAAGGCUAGUAAAUCCAGCUUAAGAAGGUAGUUUUGGACAAAGAGGAGAAAAAAUGGGAACAAACAUGGUGAAAAUAUUGAAGAAUCUUAAGUUUUCCCCUGUUUUAAAUAUUUUAAGAGGGGCUUUCCCUGUUCUUAGGAAAUUAAAAAGAUAAAAAAAGGAAAGUUUAAUAUUUUCACCGGGUCCCGGAAAUUAUACCUGGAGAAAUUUUAGUGCCUUUUUUUAGUCUCGUAGUAAUCAUAUUAAGCGAAAAUUUCACUUCAGAUUCACGCUAAAAACCCCAACUUUAUAACAGCAAAACCCAGUGCAAAUUUGACGUUACCACCGGUGUAAAAUUUCCCCAAUUUCUUGUCCUAAAAUGCAAAGUUCUCAUGCAGAGACUCUGCAACAAAUCCUCUGAAACAAAUCCCAAAUUAUUACCCAUCUCUUUGAGCAGGGGAGGGUAUUAAUUACAGUAAACCACCCAAAAAGGUCCCAAUUUUUUACAACUGCAGUAGGGGAAAAAAAAAAAAAACAGAUUCACCUCUACACAAAAUUUUUACUUGAGCUCCAGCAUAAAAAAAAUGAAAAAAAACCCAACUUUAUUGCAGCAAAACCCAGUGAAAAUUUAGUGUUAAAUACGCUUUAUAUUUCCCCAGUAUCUUGUCCUAAAAUGCCAGGUUCUCGUGCAGAAACUCUGCAACAAAUCCUCUGUAAUAAAUCCCAAAUUAUCACACCUCUCUUUGAGCAGGUCAUUUUUCUAGAUCCACAGCAGAGUGGGGGGAAAAAAAAGAGAGAGAGAAAAAAACAUAAGCUUUAUACAAAAUUUCCGCUUGAGCUCCACCCAUAAAAUAACCCCAACUUUUUUACAGCAAAACCCAGUGGAAAUUUACAGUUACCAACAGUGUAUAAUUUUCUCAGCAUAUCGCCUUAAAACGCGAAGUUCUCAUGCAGAAACUCCCCUUGGAGCAGGGGAAAAAUUGCGCAGAAUCACCCCCAACAAGUUCAUAUUUUUACAUCCACAGCAGCAAAAAGAGUUUACCUUUACCUUUAAACGAAGACCCAAAUGGAGCUUUUGCUCUCCAAAGCGAGAGAACAAAGCUCAAAAUAUAUGAAAACAGAGAGAAAAGGGAAAAAAAAUAAAAAAGAAAAUAGAGAGGAAACAAAAUAAACGCAACAAUGGAGAGACCCAAGAAAACGGAGUGAACGGAGUUGGGAGCGAUUGUGGUGAGGAGAACGAGCCCUCGAACCCCCUUUUAUACACAAAAACCCAUGAGAUCCCACCCUCCUUUGUGGUGGGUCUCUCUCUCUCUCUCUCUCUCUAUCGAUUGUUUCUCUCUCUUCUUUUUACUUAGAAAAAAUUUCACCUACAAAACCGCUUUUGGCUCCAGCAACCGGUUUUGCGCCUCCCUACAUGGCAAGAAAUUUAUUCGGUGCACCCGGUGCAUGCACACAUCUCAUGCACACAUUUAUUGUUUUAUACUGAAAAUUCAUAUAACCCUGUGCCCUUUAGUUCCUGUGCUUUUAAAUACAUAUAUGAGUAUUCAUAUUUGUAACUUUUUAACCAUCAAAUUAUUUUAAGAUCCAUACGGUAUUAUUAACUAUAUAUUCCACUAAAUCUUCUUUAUUAUUGCUGAAUGAAUAUUCAGGCGAUCCGACAACUAAAAAAUCAUAAGUAUAGAUGUUUGCAUACUUUUAAAAGUAUAGAGAAUCUAUAAACUAAAAAUAAAAUAUUUUGUCUAAGUCUAGACUUUACUAUAUAAACAUUAAGCAGUUUAAAAUAUCAACAGUUGAAAAAACAUAUAUAUAUAUAUAUAGAAUUAGACUACUAUACUAUCUAUAGUAUCGGAACUCCGGUAUUAUAGUCUUAUUUUCGAUCUUAUGGUGUUUAAAUUAACGAUCCACACCGUUAAAUAUGAUUUAGGGUAUAUGAAGUUCUUAGGAAUAAAAUUUU